CGACGGCUCUGGCCGUGGCCAGCGGGACCUUGGCCGUCAAGGCCUUGGCCAACGAGACCUUGGCCGUUUCCAUGGCCAAUGGAACCUCCACAACCUGGCCCACCACCAAACCCAUCACCAAAGCCUGGUCCAACACCUGGCCCAUCUCCAAACCCACCAAUUCCACCUAAGCCUCAACCAAAGCCACCAGCCCCUGGUCCAUCUCCAUGUCCACCAAUACCACCUAAGCCUCAACCAAAGCCGCCACCAAAGCCGCAACCAAAGCCACCACCGGCACCUACCCCGUCUCCAUGCCCACCGCAACCACCAAAGCCACAACCAAAGCCACCACCAGCACCUGGUCCAUCACCAAAUCCAGGUCCAUCACCAUCACCACCUAAGCCACCACCUAGUCCAGCUCCGAAACCUGUUCCACCACCUUCUCCAUCGCCAAAACCUAGCCCACCCAAGCCACCUUCUCCAUCGCCAAAACCUAGCCCACCCAAGCCACCUGCCCCAUCGCCAAAACCUAGCCCACCUAAGCCACCUGCCCCAUCACCACCUAAGCCACAGAACAAAACCAUACCGGCAGUGUUUUUCUUUGGUGAUUCGAUCUUUGACACAGGAAAUAACAAUAACCUAGACACAAAGCUAAAAUGUAAUUAUCGUCCCUAUGGUAUGGAUUUUCCUAUGGGAGUCGCCACCGGUAGAUUCAGCAACGGAAGGGUCGCUUCCGAUUAUAUAUGUUCGUACUCUCUUUCUCUCUGUCACAUUCCCUCUCUUUUCUUUCCGGCCACAGUUUGGCCUAAUGUGUGUUCUUCCCGUUUACAUUUUACCUAAGCUCAUUUAGAUAUUUCCUCUAAUUAAGUACUUUUCUCCUUGUUUCCUGAUUCCACUAGCCAAAUAUUUGGGAGUAAAAGAAAUUGUGCCGGCAUAUGUAGACAAGAAACUACAACAAAACAACGAACUACAAGAAACCGAUCUACUUACGGGCGUAUCUUUUGCUUCGGGUGGUGCUGGCUACCUUCCUCAAACAUCUGAAUCAUGGGUAAAGAUCAAAUCCUAAUUCCCUAGAUCAUGUUUUUUUUUUUAAAUGUUAAUUCAUUAUUAAUACACUGACUGAUCAUUUGAUUUAUUUAAAUCAGAAAGUCACAACAAUGUUGGACCAGUUGACAUAUUUCCAAGACUACAAGAAAAGAAUGAAAAAGCUAGUAGGAAAAAAGAAGACUAAAAAGAUUGUGAGCAAAGGAGCAGCCAUUGUGGUCGCCGGAAGCAAUGAUCUGGUUUAUACAUAUUUUGGAAAUGGUGCUCAACACCUCAAAAAUGACGUCGACUCUUUUGCCACUAUGAUGGCUGAUUCUGCUGCCAGUUUUGUUUUGGUACGUACUAGUGUACUACUAUCAUCCAUAAACUAUUUUUCUUAUAAAAUGUAAAUGUUUGAUCAAAACGAUAUUAAUCCAAAUAUUUGGGCAGCAAUUGUAUGGAUAUGGAGUAAGACGUAUAGGAGUGAUAGGAACACCACCGAUUGGAUGUACACCUUCACAGAGAGUUAAAAAGAAAAAAAUAUGUAAUGAAGAUCUAAAUUAUGCUGCUCAGCUUUUCAAUUCUAAGCUCGUAAUUAUUUUGGGUCAACUGUCCAAAACCCUACCAAAUUCUACAAUUGUUUACGGGGACAUCUACUCUAUCUUCAGUAAGAUGCUAGAAAGCCCGGAAGACUAUGGUAAAUCUUUUAUUUUAUUACAAUUGUGAGAAUUCUUAUAGGUUUACUUGUAAUAUGAGAUCUUAUGAAUUUGAAAACAUGCAGGGUUUGAGGAGAUAAAAAAACCGUGUUGCAAAAUAGGAUUGACGAAAGGAGGUGUAUUCUGCAAAGAGAGGACAUCAAAAAUAUGUCCCAAUGCAUCGUCUUAUCUGUUUUGGGACGGUCUCCAUCCCAGUCAGAGAGCUUAUGAAAUAUCAAACAGAAAACUUGUAAAGAAAUACAUCCAUUUUAUCUGAUUAAUAAGUACCUUUAUUAUAUUAUUAUUAAUCGUUUUUAUCUUACGAAAAGGAAACCUUUUGCAAUAUUAAUAACGUAGGCAUGGUCAGUUUCUUCCACAAAUAAUGCAAACAACCUUUGAGAUAAUCAUGUGUAAGCUUUUUGUUUUUGUUACAACAAAUUCCUCACCAAUCCAGCCAUGUUUGUUUAAGAUUUGUAUUCCUUAUGUUGAGCAAACCAACACGUACGGUGCGUUUUAGACUAUAAUCCCCUUCUCUUAAGAUAACUGGGGAACAAAUUAACUAAUUGGAAGAAACAUAUGUGCGUGAGAAGGCAAACGCGUAUGAUGAUGUCAAAAAGAUGUAAAAAGAGAGAGGCAAACGCGUAUUUGUUCUAAUAUCAUAUAUAAUAUGGGUUCACCAUGUGCAAAUAUUAUGCAUCGACUACUUGAGCAAUUGAGUUUCGGCCCUGAAGCUUUAACUGUUUCAAAGACACAUAAAAUCGAUUGGUAACUAUCAUAAACAACAAUCAUUUCAUGAGAACAAUGUGCUAAUUAACAUAUAAUGGUUACCUACCAAUUUUUAUCGUGCGAGCCGAGGAUAAAAGAGAGAAAACUUUUUGCAUACUUAUAUAUAUGUUAAUUUUAGCAUAGUGUUCUUACGACAUGAUUGUCGUUUAUAAUGGUCACCUACCAAUUUUCUGUCUUUGAAACGGUUUUCAAGUUUCGGACUGAAAAUUAUUCCAAAAAUAUUAAUAUUUCUCAUUGCAUAGACUCCUACAACAUUUGUUAAGAAUCUUGGAUUAUUAUAACAAUAUAUAAGUUGCUCAUUGUUAUCAUUUGACUGUUAAUAAUUUCAGUUACUUUCACAUGAUUUCAAAAGAUAAAAUGAUGCCAAUCUUCAGAAUCUUGAAUGAUAAGAUAAAUCAUGUGUAUAUGUACAAUGAUCGUAUAUGCGACUCUAUAUUUUUUUUUUUGACAUCAAACACCAUGCUUUUAUUAAUUCAAGUGAAAAAGUUAGCCUUUGAAACCAAUCUCGCCCGAAUCAAAGAGUUUACAUGGGAGAAGAUAAAAUUUUGUAAUGCAUCUUUUCAAGAAGAUCAGCUCUUACAGGUAGAUAAGAAAAUUCAAAAACAGUAAAGGAGGGUAGCAAAUGGAUAAAUUCAUUCCAUUCCGAAGCCAUAGAAAGCCAAUCUUCUACGUUAAUCAGCUUUAUAAGUUGAAGACAGUCCGAUUCAAAAGACAUUGAUGUAUAUCCUAGCUGCAAGGAGCUUCUCAUUGCACAAAGCAAGUAAUUAAACUCCACAUGCAUAGGGGAGAGAACUUGUUCCAUCCCGAUGGAACCGUACAGAUGGGUAUAAUUUUGACCAGUAACUUAAUGGUUUGUGUUCAAGUCCACGUCCGUGUUCAAAUCGGCAUAAUUACGCAUUUCGUCAACGAAAGAACUCAUAAGAGAUUUAAUUACAGUAUCUUAGAAGGUAGAACUAGUUCCGGACAGCAACUAAGUUCGAUCCGCAACUGGUUUACGCUUACGUAUGAUUACUUAGGACCCUAAUAAGGAAAAAUGAAGCUGAAUAUAAGGAAAAUCUCAAACAUGUGAUAAAAGAAGCUUUGAGACGCACGGAACCCUAACACGACACAUAAAUUGCAUGUCCAAGUGUAGUGGAAAAUAUAUACAUCUUUCUCUUUUUUUUUUGUAUAAACACCCAUGCAAAAUAUUAUCACUAGUAGAAUUCCAUCUUAAUUCUUUUUUUUUUGUUAGAGAAGCUUUUCCUUUUUUCAGAGAUUGAUAGCUAUAGAGCUAUGAAACAAUAUUGGCUGCUUCGAUAUGUUUUCUUUCUCUUAUCAUCAUUUUGUAUCUUUUUCGUGACGACGACCCAUUCCCAAGUGAUCCACAACCGACGACUGCGGCCAUGGCUAACACAAGAAUCUGGUCCAGGCUCACCACCUAAUCCGCCACCACAGAACCAAACUACACCGGCACUGUUUUACUUUGGUGAUUCGAUCAUCGACACGGGAAAUAAUAAUAAUCUAACAACAGAAAUGAAAUGUAAUUUUAGUCCCUAUGGCAUGAACUUUCCUACGGGAGUUGCCACCGGUAGAUUCAGCAACGGAAGGGUCGCAUCUGACUAUAUAUGUUCGUCCUCUCUCUCUUUUUUUCCUUUUCUUUUGGGCCGGAGGUGACAUUUAUUACCGUUAAUAUGUGACAUUUAUUAGUUCAUUUAGAAGAUAAUACAUUUGUUAUUUUUUUAAGCGAAGAAGACCUUCCAGAAAAAAACAUUUUCCAGAUUCUUCAAUACUAUCUUUGCUCGUAAAACAUCGAAAUAAUAUUUGAGAUAGUGAGGAUAUAUUUGUUAUUUUUUCAGGUCGAUAUAUAUAUAUGAUCAGUUUUUAGGUCCUCUAAUAGCUGUUUGUUGGUAUCAUAAUCCAUGCAGCCCGAUAUUUAGGACUAAAAUCGAUUGUACCGGCAUAUUUGGAACCCAACGUAAAACUAGAAGAACUUCUCACUGGCGUAUCAUUUGCUUCGGGUGGUAGUGGCUAUCACCAUUUAACAGCCAAAAUAUCAGUAAGAUCAAAACAGCCCCCUCUAGAUUUUAAUUUUAUAUAUCUAGCUCUUAGACUAAUGAUCAUUCAUCAAAAUAUAACCAGAGAGUAAGGUCAAUGUUGGAGCAGUUGACAUAUUUCGAACAAUACAUAGCGAGAGCAAAGAGGUUAGAAGAUAAGACUCAUCACUUAUUAGCCAAGGGCUUAGCCAUUGUGGUCGCAGGCAACAACGAUCUGCUUAUUACAUACUAUGGUCAAGGUGCUCAAUCGCUCAUAUACGACAUUCACAACUUUACAUCAAUGAUGGCUAAGUCUGCCGCAAGUUUCGUUACGGUUCGCAGCUUCAUCCAUCCUUUUUCCUAAGCUCAUACUUUCAGUUUCAUCUACCCCAAAUAAUUAAACUGAAAUUUGCUGACAACUAAAAGAACCCAAGUUAAUAAGAAUUUGACCCUAAGAGAAGGAGUUUGCAAAAUUACCAGGUUUUAGGAACAUAGUUAUGCAAUGGUGAGUUUUUUGGACUAUUUUAGAAUCAAAAACUAAUUUAUCAUAGGAUCUGAAACAACAAUUUUUUUUUUAAACUAGUCAAAGUGAUUUCAUCUAGCAAAAACCGAUCUAUUAUUUUAUUCUUAAAAAAACUACAGAAAUCCCACGUUAAUUAUAAUUAUGGGAGUAACUAUUCAAAUAUUAACUUACUGAACUGAUAAUAUGGAUAUAAUUAAGCAGCAAUUACAUGGGUAUGGAGCAAGACAAAUAGCAGUGAUAGGAACACCACCACUUGGAUGUGUACCAUCACAAAGAACCCUAAAGGGAGGUCCUCGUCGAGACUGUGCUCAAGAUCUAAAUUAUGCAUCUCAGCUUUUCAAUGCCAAACUCUUCAUCACGUUGGAUCAAUUGACUCAUGCCCUACCAAAUUCAAAUGUCUUUUACAUCGAUAUCUACUCUCCUUUUAGUGACAUCGCAGUAAACGCACAAGAUUAUGGUAAUUUUAGACCGCACACGACUUCUUAGACUUACAAAAACGAAUUUUAUAGUAACAUGUAUAUAUAUAUAUAUUGAAUUGGGAUAUUAAUGUUUCAGGGUUUGAGGAAAUAACGAAAGGAUGUUGUGGAACUGGACUUGUGGAAGCAGGUAUACUCUGCAAUCGAUUCACGACAGACGUGUGCUCCAAUGUAUCUGCUUACGUGUUUUGGGAUAGUUUCCAUCCUACCCAAAGAUUCUAUAAAAUUGUAGCCAAAAAACUAAUUGAGAGAUACAUCCACCAUUUGAAAUAAAAUGUAAUACCGUAUGCUUUUCGUUAUGCUCACGCAAUUAUAGCUAGAUGUAUAAAGUCAUUGUAAGACACUCUGGUGGUGUAAAUUGACGCUAUUAGAAAAUUUCAUCACUGUUCACAUGGUUUAUAGAAAUCUCAUCAGUGAUGAGCCAAGUUGUAGAAGUAUAACCCGUUUCUUUAAAUCUUUUUCAUUAGUUAUUGUUUUGUUAUCAAUGUCGAGGAAGAUAAUGUAAGGUUAAAGAAGUCAUGAUUAAAUUAGUAGACUGGUGCUAGCACCGAUGGCAUACUGCAAGGUAGGCCAAUGCAUUUUAACCUGGACCCAAAAGCCCGAACUGGAACCGACCAAAAAAUAUCCGAUCCGGAACCAAACCGAAAAUUUACAAAUACUUUUUGCGUCUAAUUUUUUUUUACCCAAAAGAACCGGAAUCGUUAGGAACCGACCCGAAUAGACCCGGAUCCGAAAAAAACCGAUCCGAAUAGACCCGAUCUGAUAAGAACCAAUUUGUACCCGACUUAAAAACAUGUAUAUCCAAAACUAUAAUUUUUUUGUGUUCUAUUUUAUAUAUAUUACUAGAUUUUAUACUCGCGCUACGCGCCAGUCUAUAUUAAUAAUUUAGUUUAGUUUUAUAAUAACUUUUAAGCUAACAAUUUAAUUGAUUUAUAUAAUUUUCUUAUUUGAAAUAUGAUUAGUUGAUUUUAAUAUUUAUGUUUAUUUAUAAUUGUACCAUGUUAUUAUCUAUUUAGUUAUUUGUAUUUAUAGAUGCAAUAAUUAUGUUUAUAAACAUACAAGAUAUGAGCCCGUUGCAUUGCAACUGGUUUUGUUUGAUGUUUUAAUUUAAUGAUUGUUUUUUGCAUACAUUUAUAUUUUUAUGAUUGUUUUUUUACAUACAUUGUUUGAGAUUUAUUUUAUAAUUAAACCCGUUUUUACACAUAAGUUCAAGUUAAUAUUUGUAUUUUGUAAUCAUGGUGCAUAGAUGAAUUGUUAUAAACUUUGUACUUAGAAUUAGAGAAAAUACUAUACCUAAACGUUUAAACUGAACACACUUGAAAUAAGAAAUUGAAUGAAAAGUAAAAAAAAAUGGAAGUCAAAUAUAUCAAUCGAGUCAAUGACAACAUUAUACGUGUUCUUAUGUAUUAAUUUAAUAUUUUAUUAAAUAAGUAUUAAAAAUUUUAUUUUGUUAGGAUUUUUUUUUAAAAUAAAAACAUUCUAUUUUAUAAUUCUCCUUUUUAUUUACAGUUAAAAUUACUGUCAUAUAACCUAUUAUAAUUAUCUUCUCUAUAGAAUUUCAGAAAAAAAUAAAUUGCUAUCAAAUAAUUAUUUUUAGUUAUUAAUACUCUAUUUUAUUAACUAUUUUUACAAUUCAUAUCAAUACUAAAUUUACACUUCUUUUGUUAAUUAAAUAAUUUUUAUUAUCAUCUUCAUCAUCAAAUACUCUUUUAAAAAUAUUAUCAAAUAAAUUUUACAAUUCUCUUUUGGUUAGGAAAAAAAAAUAUUAUACAAUUUUUUUUGUUUAUGAAUUUUUUAUAUAAAAAAGGAAAACAACUAUCAAAUAUUCUUUUACAGUUUUUUUGGAUUUUAGAAAAGAAAAUUAAUAUUACAUAAUCUUUUACAAUUAUAUUUUGUCUAUGAUUUAGAAAAAUAAAAUUUAUAUCAAAUAGAUAUUUCCAGUUAAUAUUAACUAUUUUUAAAAGUUGCCAUUUUCAAAAUUCGCUUUUUUCAAUAUCACUAAUAUUUUUACAAUUUUUCUUGUUAAUUAAAUAGUUUUUGCUAUCACACUUAUCGUCAAUUUUCUUAAGUACAAAGUACUAUUAAGUAAAACUUUACAAUUUUUCUCUUGUCAGAAUUUAAAAAGAAAAAGAAAAAAAAAUCUUAGCUUGUUAAGAUUAGAAAAAAAAAAUUUAGAAAUCUUUUUUUAUUAAGGAUUUUAGGAAAAGAAAAAGUUAUUUUCACAUAAUAGCAGUUUUUAUUGAUACAUUCACAAUCUAAUUUUUUUUAAUAGGCGAGAGUUCCUGAGGCAGAGAAGAGGAGUAUCUUGAGAAAUUUCAAAUUUGAUGAUGGUGAACUUCCUGUGCGAUAUCUGGGACUUCCCCUCAUGACGCAAAGGAUGAAGAAGCAAGACUAUACUCCUCUUUUGGAGAAGAUACGAGGUAAAAUAAGCUCCUGGACUUGUCGGUUUCUGUCGUAUGCUGGAAGACUCCAAUUGAUAACUUAUGUCCUUACUAGCAUAGUUAAUUUUUGGGCGACGGUGUUUAGAUUGCCUUGUAGUUGUAUCACAGAAGUUGAACAAAUAUGUUCAGCGUUUCUAUGGACGGGGCCAAUCCUUAAAUCUACUAAUGCUAAGGUUGCUUGGACAGAAGUAUGGUUCCCUAAGAGAGAAGGAGGUUUGGGGAUCAGAAGCUUGAAAGAAGUUAAUAAAGUUUAUGGUCUUAAGCUGAUAUGGAGAAUGCUAACAGGAUCAUCUCUCUGGGGGAAGUGGAUUAGAGUAAAUUUGCUAAAAGGAAGAAGUUUUUGGGAAGUCAACUUGAAGAUGCAGACUGGUUCUUGGAUGUGGCAUAAAAUGCUUAAGUUGAGAAGUGUUGCAAAGCUGUUUUACAAGGUCGAAGUAGGUAAUGGGAGGCAUACUUCUUUCUGGUAUGAUAAUUGGUCUAGGCAAGGAGUUCUCGUAGACUUAUUGGGUGCUAGAGGUUUCAUUGAUAUGGGAGUGAGAAAGAAUGCAACGGUAGAGGAUGCUGUGUUAUAUGGUAGAAGGAGAAGAAGACAUAGGCUAAGCAUUCUAAACGAUAUUGAGGACAAACUGGAUACCAUCAGAAGUAAUCCAAGUCUUGAAGGGAUUGACAGGAGUCUAUGGAGGAGAGAUUCGGCUUACAAGUUGGAGUUUUCUACUCAGGAAACUUGAAGUUUUUGAGAGACAAGAAACCUCUAUGUAGCUGGGCGCCUGGUAUCUGGUUUUCGCAAGCGACUCCGAAGUUUGCGUUUAUGGCGGGGCUCUCUGUUCGUGAUAGGAUGUCGACCAUGGACAGAGUGGUGAAGUGGAGUAGGGGGAGUAAUGAUAUGUGUGUUCUCUGUCAUAAUGCUCAGGAAUCGAGGAACCAUCUGUUCUUUGAGUGUGAUUUAUCUGCUCAGGUAUGGGAAUUCAUAGCCAAAGGAUUGUUGCGCCAGUCUUUCACUGUAGUUUGGUCAGAGAUAAUAAUCAUUAUAUCUGAUAAAACUAGAAAGAAGAAUAGUUUACUUUGUAUCAGAUACGUCUUCCAAGCUGUUCUAUAUGCUUUGUGGAGAGAAAGGAAUAAGCUGAAGCAUGGAGAGAAGAUGAUGCCUUUACCAGCUUUAAAAAAGGUGAUUGAGAAGGGAAUGAGAAAUAAAAUUACGUUGGUGCAGAAAAAAGGAGGGAGAGGAAUGGAGAUGCUAAUGCAAUUUUGGUUUCAAACAAGAAUGUAAUUAGUUUAUAGUCUUAUCUUUUGAGUUCUAGUAUGCAAUUUACUUUGCAAAAAAGUAUGCACUAGUUGUAAUAAGGCUUUUUUGGUGAAUAAAUUUAACAUUCAUUCAAAAAAAAAGUUAAUUUUGGUUUAUAUUUUUUUAACGCAAAAUUAUUAAAAAGUAAAGUUAGUUAAUUAUAAAAAAUAAUAUUAUUUUUACAUUUUUAUUUUAUUUAGACUUUUAAAAAUGAAAUUACUUAUCUUGACCGCAACUUCUUUCCCUUCUUUCAUCCUACCAUAGUAAACAUACCCAAAGCUUCCUUUUCCAACUCUCUUGGAGAAAUUAUCAGUGGCCUCUUCAAGGAUAGGAAGGGAUAUGAAAUAUGCUACACCUUCAUCUAACAAAUGUCCGUCCCUCACAGCUGAAUAAGCUGCCAAACCUUUUUUCUUAGUCCCCGUGGAGUUACCUGAAAGAAACAUGAGUAAGACAACAACCCUCCAGGGCCGUGCCUGAGAAUUUUAGGUCCUAAAACCCAAUUAUUAAUUUGGCCCCUCCAAAACUAUGAGAAUUUAAAAUGUUAAGGUGAAGAAUCGAACUGGGCACCUUAUAUACUUCUAAUAAGUAUAUUACCAACCUAGCCACUUAGUUAUUUCUGUUAGGAUUUGGCCUCUAAUAUUUAUAUAAUUUUUCAAGGCCACAAGCAUAUGCUUGAUUGGCUUUUACUCAGGCACAGCCUGCACCGUGCCUAUUAGACCCUAAAAUAUAUAUACCUUUAUCAGCACUUUUCUUCUUCCUGAGAACACAAAGUAGAACAAGACGUCCUCCAGCUAGCAGCAAGAGAACUGCGACAGCUGCUAUUGAUAGAGUACUCAUUGUAAUCUUGAGAUUUUUUUAAAUGUUAUAAGUUUGUAAAUUUGUAUGUUUUUAGUUUGUUGAUGAUAAAUUCAUAUUGAUUAUUUCUUCUAUUAUUCUUUUAUGUUCUAAUUUGUUGAUGGCCAUCCUUAUAAAUUUUAUUUAAAAUCUUAACUAACUUAUUUGACAUUCUUUUUUAGACUCUUUAUUUUUUUAUCUAACUUGUAAACAUUGUUCUCUAAAUAUUUUCUUCAACAUAACUCAACAAGGAGCAUCUUAAACUUUAUAUGUUGUAUGAGGUGAAUCAUGGUACUGAUUAUAAGAAUUCAUCAUUUAGUUUGCUUUAAUACCAAUAAUUUUUUAAAAAGCUUAUAGAUCACAUCAUGUUCGAUUUAUUUCAGUAUAGCUUAUUUGUUUAGUUUCUAUGAAAAUUUUGACUGUAACCGAUUAAAAGAAUAUUUGUAAAAACAUAAAAUAAUAGUGUUGAUUAAUAUUUAAAAUUUUAAUGGAUAAAUAAAUUCGUCAGUUUUUUGAUCGAUUAAAAAUAAUUUGAAACUCAUAAAUAAAUUGUGUCUUGCGACUCUCUCUCUAUUCUCUUACUUAACAUCUUUCAGAGAGAACGAAUGGAAAUUUCAAAUCUUUUUUCUUAUAUUGGAAUUAUCCUCUACUCUAUCCGAUUUUUUGGUGUGAUACAUUUUUUCGUCUAUUGGAUUUUAUCUUCGGCUUUGUAUGUCUACUUUACGUCGCAGAUGUUUUACAUUUUUCUUUAUACUAAUCUUGUUUACUGUUAUUGUUCAUUCACUUCAAAUCCUAUAUUCUUGACGCGUUCCUUGUUCAUGAAGAAUAUAUUUGGUUUUUUUAUUUGGAUAUUAUUAAUAGAAAACACAUUUGAUACUGAUUUAUAAUUUAUUUUUUUAAAAACACUUUUUAAAAUUUUAUUUUGAAGAGUAAAUUUUAUUUUGUGUUCUUGGAAGGAAAAAUAUUGUAUAUUGUAUAUUUUAUAUUAUUUUUGGUUAAUUUGUUUCUGAAAAUUCCAAAUAUUUAUAUAUAAAUAUGUAUAUAUAUCCAUGAAUCAAUUUAGUUUUAAUGAUUUAUUUAAUAGUUUACCUUAUUUGAUGUUGAAUUCCAUUUUGUAUUAUCAAUUUUGGAAAUUUAACAUUUUAAAAAUAGUAAACAAUCAUAGUUUGAUUGUUUUGUUUUCUAAUACUAUGUGUAUACUCUUAAUGACUUAUAGCUUUAUAUAGAUUAUACGUUAUUUUUGAAUAUUUUCAAUAGUAUAUAGCCUAAACUUUAAAAACCAUGAGUUAAAUUAAUUUACUUAUAAUUGUUUGAAAGUCUUGCAUUUUUAAUAUUAAUUCUUCUUUUUUAUUUUAUUUUAAUGUUACAUUUUGAGAAAUAUUAUAUAUUAAGUAAAUUUAUUUAUAAUGUUUUACUUUUGUUAACUUACCUUGUUUUAUUUGGUUUUUAUUUUAAUUUAAAUGAUUUUAUGAAAUUUUUUAAAUCCUAAUCAUAAUAUAAUGAAUUGUUUCUCACUGAUUUAUAGUCUUAGCUUAAAUAUAAUGUAUGUUAUUUACCAAUAUUUUCAAUAGCAUAUAUCCUAAAUUUUGAAAAUCAUGAGUUAAAUUUAAGAUUAUAAUUGUUUAAAUUAUUGCAUUUUAAAGUAAUUAUUAUUUUUAGUUAAUUUAUGUUAAAUUUCAAAAUUAAUUAUUAUUAUUAUAUAUAUUAAGUUAAUAUGUGUAUAAUGUUUUUAAUUUUGUUAGUUAGACUUAUUCGAUAUUGAUUUCUUUUUAUUAUGAAAUAAACAGUUUUUGAAAACAUUGACAUAUUUAAAAAUAACAAAUUUAAAUGCUUAUUUGUCAUAAUACGAUUGGUUGUUUUAAAUCUUACGUAAACACAAUCAAUAGCUUAUAGCCUCAACGUUUAUACAGUAGUCUUCGCUUAAUUAUCAUAUUUGUACGAUAUUUUAUGUUAAUUUCAAAAAUAUAUUAUAUAUUAAGUUAACUUAUAUACAAUUCCUUGAUUUUUCUAAGUUUACCAUAUUUUAAUUGAUUUAUAUUUUAUUUUGAAAUACAUGAUUUUUGGUAAUAUUGAAAUUUGUAGAAAUAGUAAUCUAAAAUGCUGAUGUGUCAUAAUACGAUUGGUGGUUUUAAAUUCUAUGUGGACGCUCUCAAUGGCUUAUAGCCUCAGCUUUUAUAUAGUUUAGAUUUUUGAAUAUUUUCAAUAGUAUAUAGCCUAAACUUUGAAAACCAUGAGUUAAAUUAAUUUACUUAUAAUUGUUUGAAAGUCUUGCAUUUUUAAUAUUAAUUCUUCUUUUUUAUUUUAUUUUAAUGUUACAUUUUGAGAAAUAUUAUAUAUUAAGUAAAUUUAUUUAUAAUGUUUUAUUUUUGUUAACUUACCUUGUUUGAUUUGGUUUUUAUUUUAAUUUAAAUGAUUUUAUGAAAUUUUUUAAAUCCUAAUCAUAAUAUAAUGAAUUGUUUCUCACUGAUUUAUAGUCUUAGCUUAUAUAUAAUGUAGGGCUUUUUGCAAAAGUGACUCAAAACUUGAAGUCAAACAGAAAACUAACAUUUUCUUUUGACUCCUUUUUUUUUUGAGAUUUUAACCCCACACCUGCAUUUUAUCUACGAAAAUGCCAUUAACAUUUUUUUUUUUUUUCGAAAAUGGCUUCUUUACUGUCUCAACCUCAUCUUCUUCAAGUAUUUACAAUAUUGCCACUGCAAUGAAUAGUGGCAACAACCUUGUACGAACUGUUUGGAGCUUUUAAUGCCCUUUAAUGCACGUAAAUCUCUUUACACUCUCUCUGUUUCAAUUGUUAUGAACUAAAAACAACAUUUCUUUCACUUUCUCUCUAUAUUCAUCCAAAAAACUCAAGCUUUUGAUUCAAAAUAUGGGCUAUGGUUGACAGAGCCAUAUUUCUUUCGUUUUGACUUACGGUUGCUUUCGUUUGAGGUUCUGGGUGGUUGGAGAAGACCCUGUGUGCAAACGAAGUCAUCUCACCUAGUUUAAGGUACGAAUUUGAAUUUUUUUUCAAGAUCUGUUCGCGUAGAAGACUUACUAGUAAGUCAUCUGUAUGUAGAAGACUUACUGAUGAGUCUUCUGGUCAAACGGACGACUUAAAUUAAGUCGUCCAGCUUUGUUUGUUAAAAAAAACACUCCAGACGACUUAUAUANNNNNNNNNNNNNNNNNNNNNNNNNNNNNNNNNNNNNNNNNNNNNNNNNNNNNNNNNNNNNNNNNNNNNNNNNNNNNNNNNNNNNNNNNNNNNNNNNNNNNNNNNNNNNNNNNNNNNNNNNNNNNNNNNNNNNNNNNNNNNNNNNNNNNNNNNNNNNNNNNNNNNNNNNNNNNNNNNNNNNNNNNNNNNNNNNNNNNNNNNNNNNNNNNNNNNNNNNNNNNNNNNNNNNNNNNNNNNNNNNNNNNNNNNNNNNNNNNNNNNNNNNNNNNNNNNNNNNNNNNNNNNNNNNNNNNNNNNNNNNNNNNNNNNNNNNNNNNNNNNNNNNNNNNNNNNNNNNNNNNNNNNNNNNNNNNNNNNNNNNNNNNNNNNNNNNNNNNNNNNNNNNNNNNNNNNNNNNNNNNNNNNNNNNNNNNNNNNNNNNNNNNNNNNNNNNNNNNNNNNNNNNNNNNNNNNNNNNNNNNNNNNNNNNNNNNNNNNNNNNNNNNNNNNNNNNNNNNNNNNNNNNNNNNNNNNNNNNNNNNNNNNNNNNNNNNNNNNNNNNNNNNNNNNNNNNNNNNNNNNNNNNNNNNNNNNNNNNNNNNNNNNNNGGGAGACCGAAUCGCUCAGCGGAGACACUGUACUCCGAAGUAUGUAGGUAGUCUUUUCAUUGAUCGUGUUGGAAUCAUUGAUGGGAUAACUCCGCAGCAUAUCACUGAUGCAAUGAGGAACAUGUUUGGCAUGGCGCUUGAUUACACCACUUCAUACAGAGCACUGUUAUAUGCACAAAGAUUGGUGAGAGGAUCAGCAGAAGAAGGGUAUUCGCGUCUGGCAUCAUAUCUCGAGCAAAUCUCCAUAGCAAAUCUCCACUGCAAAUCCUGAUUCUAUGACGGCGAUAGAACUUGAUUCUAUGAAAAGAUUUAAGUAUCUAUUUCUCUCUUUUGGAGCUUCUAUCAAAGGUUUUAAGUAUCAGAGAAGGGUCAUUGUGGUGGAUGGAACUCACCUAAGUGGAAAGUAUGGAGGAACUAUGUUAGUUGCAGCCGCACAAGAUGGCAAUUUUCAGAUAUUCCCAUUGGCUUUUGGGAUCGUGGAUGAGGAAGAUAUACCUUCUUGGGAAUGGUUUUUCACAAAAUUGGCUAGUUGUAUAUCUCAUGACAAGCCUCUGGUGAUAGUCUCCGACCGGCACAAGGCCAUUAAAAGUGCGUGUGAUAAGGUGUUUCCUUGGGCAACCCGAGGAAUAUGUUAUUAUCACCUUCAAGAUAACAUUGUCAAAAAGUAUAAAGGGAAACAUCUCUUGUACUUGGUGAAAGNNNNNNNNNNNNNNNNNNNNNNNNNNNNNNNGUUUUAAUAUCCUCUUUGGUCAACCCACCAACAGUCGUAGUCACCUCUUCACUAGCCUCUGCAGCUGCCUCUUCACUAGCUUCAGCAGGUGCCUCUUUACGAGCUUUCUUCCGAGGUCUUGGACUGUCUUCCUUCACUACCUUUUUCUUCGCUGGACUCACAACCGCCGGCUUUGUAUUGACCCAAGUACCGGUGACUUCCCAGCAAUCCAUGGUCAACUUCCACGGUUUCUUCACAGACAUGAGUUUAAUUAUGUUCUCCACGAGCGUGUCCUCAACAUCAAACUCCCAUUUUGAAAACAUUUCACCAGUGUCCUUUUGAACAAAGUUGAUCACCCUAGUCUGCAGUAAAUAGAAGAUAUGAACUUAGAUAUUUGACGGAUUAAGAAAGAUGGAAAGAAAAGACUUCACAGACGACUUAUAAUUAAGUCGUCUGGAAAGUCUUCCAGCUGGACGACUUAGUAGACGACUUAUAAUUAAGUCAUCUGGAAAGUCUUCAAGCUGAAAGACUUAGUAGAAGACUUAUAAUUAAGUAGUUUGGAUAGUCUUCCCAGACGACUUAAUUAUAAGGCUUCUACAAAGUCAUCCAGCUGGAAGACUUUCCAGACGACUUAAAUAUAAGUCUUCUACUAAGUCGUCUAAUUGGAAGACUUAUCAGACGACUUAAUUAUAAGUUUUCUGCGAGUGAGGAUUACAGUGUUUAUGGAAAGGUUGAAGAUGAGGAUGAGGAAGAUGAUGAUAUGUGUUUUGAAGAUAUCGAAAAGAUUGAAGGAGGAAGAUCGAAUGGUAACAGUAUCUAUGUCAACCAGAGUUUUGUUAGCAAGGAUGCACUGCUUUCAGAGCUGCGGUUGACAGCAGUGAGGUUUAAGUUCUCCUUCAGAAUAUACAAGUCAACGAAAACUCUCCUUGUGACAACAUGUCCGGUUAGUGGUUGUCAAUGGAAGGUCAGAGCUUCAAGUUAGUCGUUCAGUGAUUAGUCUUCCAGAAGACCUUCAAUUAAGUCGUCCAGAAGGUCGUCCAGUUAGUCAUCCAGAAGGUCGUCCAGUUAGUCGUCCAGGGGUUUUUCUUCCAGAAGACCUUCAAGUUAGUCGUCCAGUGUUCAGUCUAUGUACUAAAAAUUUGUGUUAUGAACUUAUCUGUGUCAACUUCUUUGUCAAAUUGCACUACCAAACAAAUUUGAGAUGGUCUUGCCCUUUAUAUUAUCCGAAAUAUAGUUACAAAAGGUCACUGCUCAGAAGACUUUCCAGACUACUUAUAGUUAAGUCGUCCAACAUUCCAGACGACUUAACUGUAAGUCUUCUGCGCAGAAUAUAGUUACAAAAUAGAGAUCAAGUUCAAAUACAAAAUAGGGAUCAAGUUCAAAUACACACAUCAGCCUAAUCUAUCAUACAAAAUAAUCUAAAGUGGCAUGUUUAUCACCCGUCAUAUGCACCCAAGAUGUCAUCCAUGUCCUUGUUUUCGAGCUCAUGCGCGUUAGGAAGCUCUUGAAAUAUAUCCACCGUCAUCUUAUCCCUCAUACUCUUCCCGUUGGGCUUAGCAAAGUCUUUUUUACUAAACUCUAUCCCAAGAGCAUGACAUUCAAUGUACUUUAGAGUGUACACGCCACAAUCACCAGCUCGGGCCGGAGGUAUAUUGGUCGGUCUCUCAUAUGUGAAUGGCUCCAGGCUGUAUUGGGCACGUAGUUCGUCUGAGGAAGCGCACUCAACAAGCAGAUAAGGGACCAUGUAGAGAAAAGGCUCCAUUACCACAUCGAGUUCUUCUGGGGAGAUACUGGAACAAAUGCUGUCAAAGACGACUAUGUGCCUCUUAGGGAUCGAUAUCCACAUAGCAAUCCAAUGACUGUCGGCGAAGUUUACUGGCGCAUAGAUAUCAUCAAUAUCCGUCCCCCAAACCUUGUUCGAUUGGCAAAAUGAUGGUAUAGUGCCUGCAUAAUAAUUCCACGCCCCACCAGGGAGUCUUCUUCCUAAACCGUUGUGAUCGGGCUUCGAGUCCUUAAAAUCCUUGAAGUUGAAUCUCCAUUGCUGAGCAAAGAGAUGAUCAAGGAAGCACAUUCUCUCGCUCCUGAAAUGUUGUGGGUUAGCGUCGUACCUCUUCCUCAGCACAUUAAUCCAAGCAUCAAUAUGCUGCAUAUAAAAUAGAGUACAAGUCAGAAGAUAUCAGACGACUUAGUGGUAAGUCGUCUACGUAGAAGACUUACCAGACGACUUACAAGUAAGUCGUAGACGAAUUAAGUCGUCUGAUAAGUCGUCUACGUAGAAGACUUACCAGACGACUUACAAGUAAGUCGUCUACGUCAUAGCAGAAGACUUACACAGUCCUCCAGCCACUCUAGGAAGGUUUGGAGGAUUUGAUACCACCAAGUUCUACUUUUACGUUGUUUUUUAUCGAGAGUUGUUCUAUAAUGACUGCAAACACAAAAUGUUGAAAAGCAAUCAGGUUUUAUGGGAAAAGCAAGCUAUUAUGUGAAAAGCAAGCUAUUAUGGGAAAAGCAAACACUUACGGACAAGUUUUCAACCAAUCAGCGAGCUCCCUCAACUUCUUCUUGUCAAUUGGUGCAAAAGGAUUAUAGCCUGGAUAAAGCUUUCUGUUUGAAAUGAUCACUCUGGCCGUUCUGUUUGCCGUAUAAGGAGAUUUCUGUGAGGCAGCAAGUUUCCUUGUUCGAUCACUCUUUGCACGGCAAAGUGCCAAAGCAGCAUCCCUCUUUUCUAGAUAUCUAGCAUCCUCCUUCUGUAAAUCUGAAACAGUGGAUUGAUUUUUGUCCAAUAGAACAAGGCUCGGUUCUGGAGCUUUAUCUUCCGAGGAACUCGCAUCUGCGGGCACAUCUGCGGGCACAUCUGCGGGCACAUCUGGACCUUUAUCCUCCGCCAAGCUCUUCCUUCCCGCGUUCGUCCCAUUGACACUUUCACUCUGCAAUAUACAAGAUGGGUUUAUACAAUAAUAACCAAAGAUCCAUUUCAAACAAUAAUAACCAAUGAGUGUCUUCAAACAUGAAACAAAAUACAUAUAUAAAAUCCAUACACUAUAAACAAAGCACACAUGUUCUGACAUACAAGAAACAAAGCAAAUGCAACUUUUCAGUUCUUAUUCUUAAGACUUUGUCUAGUCAAUCUCUUGUUGUGAGAGGAUUCGUUACUAACCCCGGGUUCGAGCGUCGGUUUAGGUGGAGAGGUAGUGUUUUGAGAUGAUGUCCCUUUCCGUUUUGUGGUGAUACCAACCUUCUUCUCCACAGCUUCCACCCUUUCCGACAGAUACUUGAUCUCCUUAAGGCACGUCCCAAACCCUUCCCUCAUGGCAUCAGCUAUGUCCUUGAACAUGGUUUUAAUAUCCUCUUUGGUCAACCCACCAACAGUCGUAGUCACCUCUUCACUAGCCUCUGCAGCUGCCUCUUCACUAGCCUCUGCAGCUGCCUCUUCACUAGCUUCAGCAGGUGCCUCUUUACGAGCUUUCUUCCGAGGUCUUGGACUGUCUUCCUUCACUACCUUUUUCUUCGCUGGACUCACAACCGCCGGCUUUGUAUUGACCCAAGUACCGGUGACUUCCCAGCAAUCCAUGGUCCACUUCCACGGUUUCUUCACAAACAUGAGUUUAAUUAUGUUCUCCGCGGGCGUGUCCUCAACAUCAAACUCCCAUUUUGGAAACAUUUCACCAAUGUCCUUCUGAACAAAGUUGAUCACCCUAGUCUGCAGUAAAUAGAAGAUAUGAACUUAGAUAUUUGACGGAUUAAGAAAGAUGGAAAGAAAAGACUUCACAGACGACUUAUAAUUAAGUCGUCUGGAAAGUCUUCCAGCUGGACGACUUAGUAGACGACUUAUAAUUAAGUCGUCUGGAAAGUCUUCCAGCUGGAUGACUUAGUAGAAGACUUAUAAUUAAGUAGUCUGGAUAGUCUUCCCAGACGACUUAAUUAUAAGGCUUCUACUAAGUCAUCCAGCUGGAAGACUUUCCAGACGACUUAAUUAUAAGUCUUCUACUAAGUCGUCUAAUUGGAAGACUUAUCAGACGACUUAAUUAUAAGUUUUCUGCGAAGUCGUCCAGAUUGAAGUAAAUACCUGACUGAGGAUAGCCUCUUUAAACUGUCUGCGUCCUUUGCGACCCUUGUAAGCCAGUAUCGGUGGAGACGGAUUGUUUGGGAGAGGAUUACCAAAAGUAGCACCCAAUUCCGGAAGAGCUGUGUACACCCAGACCUGGAGAGCUUGCGCAAACCCAUUAAUAGUGUAACAACCCGAAAUAUCUCUGCCCUUCACAGAGUCCAUCAGCACCUUAAACGCGACUCUCCCCCAUGGAUAAUUCUCAAACCGUUCUAGCUCCAUCACUAGCCUUGCCAGACUAACCCGUGUAGGGGUUGAAUACUUUCUCCCUUCAAUGUAUCCAGUGAAGAUGGCAAGGUACGCGAGCCGCUUGCGAUCAUCCCGAGACCACCCUUCGCAUCUCUCAAGUGCUGCUAUUAUCUCCUGAGUAGAUGGCCCAGCUUCGACAUGAACUCCCAACAUCUCCCAAAAAGAAGUCAACUCCUUUGUAACAACACAGUGAGGUCUCUCAAGGUCCUCGAUGUACUCGCAGUUUAGACCAGUGAGGUUUUCAAACUCUAACAGUGAAAACCUCACAGGUUCUGGACCAACGAGACUCCACAGCUCAUACUUCUUCUUUAUGUCCAGCUGGAAACCGAGCAUGUAGUGAACCAGCCUUGAAGCCCAAUCAAAUCCCAGCUCUUGGAACUUGAUGAAAACUCCCAACUUCGACUCCUUCAGCUCUUCAUAUUCGUCAUCAUGAAGAGCUUUCUUUAAAGCAGCAUGCAACGUCCAACAAGUAUGAUACGAAAUGCUAUGCACUGCGGGGGGCUCUUCCCCUAAUGUAUAUAUCCUACGGGGGAGUUCUGGCAUCUCCAUUUUUUUUGCCUGCAAAACAAUCAAAGACAACCAUCUCAAACAAUCAAAGACUUAUAAUUAAGUCGUCUGGCAAGUUUUCCAGCUGAAAGACUUAUAAUUAAGUCGUCUGGAAAGUCUUCCAGCUGGAAGACUUUCCAGACGACUUAAUUAUAAGUCUUCCAAGACUUCCAGUUUUAUGUUCAUCUUUUCCUCAAUCAAUCACUCGACAGUAAGAGAUAUAACUUACCGGCGGCGGAGUUCAACGAGACGCCUCUGAGAGAAUGCGCGCUAGGGUUUCCUCUCGGAUCUUAAAUAGAGGAAGCGGCUGUGAGAACGGUGGUGAGAACGACGGUGAUAACGGUGGAGAGAUAACCGGCGGUGAGAACGAUGAGAACGAUGGAUUAGAAAGAAUCAACGGAAAUCGCCUUCGAAAUCGCCUUUGAGAGAAACGGCUUUAGGGUUUUCUGAUUUUCGAUAAACAGUGAAAAAGAAAACACCUUAUAUAUGGCCGGUAAAUAAUCCGGUUAGGUUUAAAAGUACAUUGUAAAAUUAAAGGCUUGGUCCGGUUUGGACGACUUACUAGUAAGUCGUCUGUUGAAUACUGUACAUCAGACGACUUACUAGUAAGUCGUCCCAGACCCUAAAUUUAACCCCUAAACUAAAUUGACUAAAUUAACUAACUAACCACGUUAUAAACCCGUAGUUAUACUUAAAUAGUGUUUACUAUACACAGAAAUAAAAACACUUAGGUAAAUUUUAAAGUUUUCAAAAAAACAUUUAUGCAUUCCAAAAUCUAACCCUAAGAACACAUACAAUACUACAACAUAUGUUGGCAAAACCUAAACCAAAGAAUAUCAUGACUCACUACUUUCACUCAUCUAUGUUGAAAACAAUUAACUUUUGUUAUAUCUUAAUUUAUAUCUCUUAAAACAUAUGUUAAUUACAUGAUUUCAAUUUUUCACUUAUCAAAAUAUUUUUUACAAAAUGUUUAAAUUAUUUCUAAGUAAAACUAGUCCAGGCGACUUACGGGGGUUAGAAACGUAAAAAAAUUUCGGUUUUUUGUUUGUUCACAAGAGGUUGGUUGUAAUUUCAAUAGCCUUUUAAGUUACUUUUGCAUUUGAUUCAAGUUUGGGUUAACCUUUGCGUUUGAAAUCGAGUUGUGAGUCAUAUUUGGCAAUUUUCCCCUACUAUAAACCACACACGUUUUCAUAUUUUUUUCUUUUUUCGUCACACUUCAAAAGAAAAUGAUACUCCAAUUGUCACGAUUUACAUUUUAACACAAUUGAAAACGUGUUAAUAUAGUACGAGGCAGAAAAAGAAAAAGAAGAAAUAAUUUCGAAGCCUUUAUGGAAGGGAAGGAUAGAAACUAACAGUUUUAUGUACUUCUGUGUACCUAACUAAUAUUGUUGAACUAUAUGUUCGUCAUUUGUUCUUAUCUUCCGAUGUUAUUUAAAUUUAUAUUCAAGAGAUAUUUGAAUUUAUUAACACACAUGACAUCAGAAAAGAAUCUAAUAUGAAAGAGCGAAAAACAAUUGAAGAGAUCAUAAGCUAAUUUUAUUCUCAAUUAAGAAUAUGGAUCUUUAUGCAUUAAUAUAUGAAAUCCUCUAAUCAAUGAUAUCACACAUGUAUCUCUAACUAGCUUAGGAAUCUACAAUACACACGUGACAUGCUGACUUUGAAGGUUUAUAGUCAUCAGAUCAUCCACAAGUAAGAAGACUCAAGCAAGAUGAAAGGAAGUUAACCUUUCGUAGAGUCUAAAUGUCUUAGAUACUAUGUUUGAGUCUAAGGGUUUGUAACACAUUAGUCGGUUAGUACAUGUGUCCUCCUCUCACAGGCUGACUGCUUUUAAGCACGUGUAAAUAGCUGAGUUAUAAAGCUAUAAGUCUGAGUCUUGAGCUGAUUAGAGAUGACUUAGGGUUCAUGUUAUCAGCCAAGAUCGUCAGCGAGAUACAUGAAGAACGAUUGUACAAGGAGCUCGGCUGAGAGCAAGAUUAGAGUGUUGCUGCUUCAAUCCCAGCUCUGGUGAGCUAUAGCUGUCCUUCCUUGUUAACAUCGGGUCAACAGUUACUUGUGUUUGUGUCGAUUUCAAGUUCGAUAGAUCAAGAUUAGGUUUCUAUCUUCACAAAUUGGUAUUAGAGCGCCAGGUUUUGGUGUGAUUAACUAUCAAUCUAAGACGAAAUCAAUUCGUAUCAAAAUGUCAAGUCAUCAAAUCAUGAUGACGAUGUUCGACGGUAUCAGAGACUUCGGAAUCUGGAAGAAACAGAUGUACACAAAUCUCAGCAUACAAGGUCUUAAGAAAGUGCUAACGGAAUCGAUAAAGAAAGAGGAGGUAACAGAUAAAAAUGAUGAAGAAACAAACAUCAAGAAAAAGAAAGAAGCAUAAGAAACGACGAGGAUGGAACGAGAUGAGAAAGCCAUGAAUAUAAUAUUCAUGAGCAUCAGUGAUCAAGUAUUAAGGAAGAUCGAUAAGUGUGUCACAGCAGCACAAACAUGGGCAUUACUCCAUCGGUUAUACAUGACGCAAAGCUUGCCAAAUUGUGUUCAUGCGCAACUAAAGGUGUACUCUUUCAAGAUGCAAGGCUCAAGAUCAAUAGACCAGAACACAGACGAAUUUCUAAAGAUGAUUAAGAAUUUUAGAAACUUGGCAUAAAGAUUCCAGAGGAUAUUCAAGCGAUUCUACUACUCAACGCUCUCCCAGCCAAGUAUGAUUCUCUUAAAGAAACCUUGAAAUAUGGUUGUGAUGCUAUAAAGGUAGAAGAGGUUGCUAGUGCUACUAGAUCUAAGGAACUGGAAUUUAAAGAUGCUUUUAGCUCUAGGUCUGGUGGGGAGGGUCAUUUUUUGAGGGAUAUAUCGGAUACUAGGACUGUAAGUUUUGGGAAGAAUAAGGACAUGUCCAGAUCAAAAUCUAAGAACGAAACGAGUGUGUUGGAUCUGCAGCAAAGAAGGACAUUUCAAGAAAUAAUGUUCCAAGUGGACUGAAAGAAACAAAGGAAGGUCAUCAUCAUAUGAUAAAGGAUAAGCUGCUGAAGUAAGAGACAAUGCAAAGAAUCUGAUUACACCGAGUGGGUGCUGGAUCACUACAAGAUAUAUGGAUUUCAAUAGCAGUAGAGGAUAGCGUUUUUUGCCUUUCUAGUAUGGUUUACAUACGCUUUAGUUUUAGAUAGCGUUUCUACAUUUCGAAACGCUAUGAUAAAGUAGUAUAUUUAAAAACGCGAUAAUAGUGUAUGGUUUUAACGUAACACUUAUUUUUAAUAGAAAAACAUAAUUAAAAACGCUAUGUUUGGCUAUUUGAAACCUUAAACUCUUAACAUAUUUUAAACCCUAAACUCUAAACACAAACCUAAAACUCAAAUAUUUUCCUAUUCUAAUCUUUAAUCUUAAGUUUAAAUUCAAAUUUUAAUAUUUUCAAUUCAAAUCUUAAAUCUAAACCUUAAAACCUAAAUCCUUUACAUAUUUUCAAACCCUAAACCCUAUAUCCCUAUCCAAACCUCAUAUAAACACUAAACUUUAAAGGGAAAAAUGUUAAACAAAUCCUCAGCUUUUUCAUUUGGACCAUUAUAAUCCCCAGCUUUCGGAAAGACCUGAAAAACAAUAAAUUUUUCUUUUGACUUUAAAAACCCAGCUAACUUUUCUUUGAAUGGAUCAAAUUAGACCCGACGUUAAUUAGACUAACGGAACAUGUUAACCCUGUUAAUUUGCACAGUUAGCCAGUACGACAACGUUUUAUCUUAAACUUCAAAAUAAGAUCUGAAACCCUAAUAUCAUUUUCCCCCAAAUCGAUUUGGGGAUUUUCUUGACACACCAACCCUAAAAAUUACGAUUACAACUCAAAAUCCUCCAAUCUCACACGAUUGACUUCCCUUAGCACGAAGAUGAGUUCGGAUUCGACAGCUGAGAGUUCAACCGUGAACACAUACGGUAUUCGUGGGUUUCCGGCGAGCUGUGUUUGCGGGACUAAGACAACAAUCUACACGUCUGAGACUAACAAGAAUCCGGGGAGACCUUUCUUCAGAUGUCUUACGAGAAGAAAGGUAGCUUCUUAUCUUCUUGAUUAUAUUGUUGUCGUUUAUUCAAAUUGAAUAUAAAGCAAUAUGCCUAAAAUCUUAUGGUUUUUGCAUAGAACCACUUGUUUAAAUGGGUUGAGGAGGCUGUUUAUGAAGAGGUUCAAGAUGCCUUACCAAAGAUUGUACUGCUUGAAGCUGAGCUUAACAAAGAAAAAUCUGAUAUUGAGGAUUUGAAAGGCGUGGUCACUGAGUUGAUGGAAGAGGUUGUAAGAGCCAAAACAGAGGUGAAGAGGUGUAAGGUGAUGAUGACGAUCUUGUUUGUGAUCAUGUGCGUGAUCAUCAUUGUCCUACUAGUUAGUUUGAUGUAGAAUUAAGUUAGUUAUUUGCUUAAUGUUUGGUCUUGACUAUGUUUGGGGCUUAAUUCAGUGACUAUUAUGUUGGUUUCAUUGACUAUGUUGUUGUUUGAAGUAAUGAACUAAGUUGUUGUUGUUGGUUGAGAUACAAACCAAUCUUAAAUAAAGCUUGAUGAAACAUAGCAUAAGUUAAGUGUCAAAGCACUACAAAAUAGAUCCGAAAAUACUGAUACACAAGACAGAAACCUGAAAGCUGAGUGUUAAAGCACUAAAACUGAAACAUGAGUGUCAAAACACUAAAACUUCAAAACACUAAAUCCGAAAAUACUAUCUUCUGCUUCUGCCCCUUCCAACUUCGAAAUCACGAAAACCAUCGACCCCAUACCGACGCAUCUGAGUUUGGUGGUGCAUGUGUGGCUUGUUCCCAUCUCCCUGACUCUUGUGGCUGUGUUGAUUCCCCUCGUGGCUGUGUUGACACUUGUGGCUGGGUUGGUUGUGAUGAUGAAGCAUGAGACUGUCCCUGGCUUGGUUGUGACGAUGAUGCAUUAGACUGACAAUGAAAAAAAAAAAUCAAGUGAGCAUAAGAAGAUCAGAAACAAACCAAAAACAUCUUAAAACUUGCCUGAUUUUUCCUAGGGCGACCUCGUGGUUUCUUGGGCUGACUUUCAACAAAGUCAUUCUUACAUGUCUUCUUGUUAUGAUGCUCUUGCUUGCAAUUAGAACAUGUAAUAACUCGAUCAGCACGAGUUAGUUUCGUGCUAUCAGUUGUAGAGACUUUCGGGCCCUUCUCUGUCUCACCCUUGCUCUUGAACCUAUCAUGGUUCUUUGGUCUUCCCGGGUUUCCUUUUCUCCAAGGUGGUGGGAGGACACCUAAUCUACCCGUCUCAGGCCAUAGCUUCUUCCCUUGAACAGGCCUUACCCCCAUACUAUAGGUUUGACGCCACAUAGCUAUGGUAUAACAAGGAGAUACAAAGUCAGAAAGUUUUUUACCAUCUUUAAGGAUCACAUAGGCGGCAUGAAUGCAAGGAAUUCCAGUCAUUUGCCACUGGAUACACCCACAACUUAGCUCAUCCAUAUCCACAGCAUAAGCCACACCACCAUAAUCAACCUCUGUGACUGGACCAACUGCUGGAAAGCUCAUACAAUCCUUAGACUUUGACUCCACUUUAGCCAUCUGAAGAUGCGUCCUUUUUGUGAACUUUGUCUUAGCAUUUUUAGCCAUUACAGCCCUUCUGAAGUUUCGAACCAUACACUGUCUCCUUAUAUCCUCUAACAUCUCCAAUAAUGGCUUCCUUCUUGCUUCACGGAUGGUUCUGUUGAAGGACUCACUUAGGUUAUUGAGAUUAUCGUUGCACAAGGUCCCUAAUUUGAAAUAUGCUCUGGACCAAGUUUCUGGUUUGGUGACUUGAAGAGUAGCAUAGGCGCCUGGAUUGUACUCUUUCAGCCUCUCACUCCACAUUUUAUAAUCUCCAAUUGUAUAACUCCUUGCUAUUCGCCAGAAGAGUCUUUGUAGCUGCAUGUCAUGGCUGCUCUUCUUCCAAUUAUCGAAAAUGUGUCUACAACACUGUCUAUGCUCAACCUCUGGAAGAAUGGUGUGGACUGCUUUCACUAAACCCUGCCAAUUACAAGCAUGAGACAGUUAAAAACACUAAGAUACAGUAAUGCUUUAAGCACUAAAAGCUUUAAAAAAUCAAGAUCAGACGUUUACCUUUUGUUUGUCAGACAAUAUAGCAUAGCCUUUGCCAUCCUUUAAGCCCAAGUCAUUUGCGAGGUGUCUCACAAACCAGUCCCAAUUCGUGUCAUUCUCCACUUCUACUACUGCCCAUGCAAUCGGAACAAUCCGAUUGUCUCCAUCACGUCCUACAGCAGCCAAGAGAUGACCCUUUAUGUCCCACUUUAGAAAUGCUCCAUCUAAACCCAUUAUCGGUCUACAAGAAGUCUUCCAAGUCUCCUUCUGCGCAUGAAAGCAAACAUAUAGCCGGAAAAACCUCUGUUUACUUCCUACUGUCGGUCCAGGGAUGGUUUCGAUAUCCAUUGUAGUGCCAGGGUUGGUUCGAAAAAUCUCAGCUUGAUAAUCCCAUAUCUUGUUGAAGUGUUCUUCGUGGCUUGCUUUUCUUUCUUUCAUAACCUUUGUCUUCGCAUUCCCACAAGCUUCCACACUCACAAACAUCCUAUACUCUCUCUGGAUCUCAGAAGCAAUUUCAUGCUUGGUGAUUUUGGGAUUCAACCUCAGCCUCUCAGCGAACAGCAUUGCUAUAGUAGAACACUUCAAAAACUUUGAGUGUCCUGUUAUCUCACACUUGUGCUCAUUCACAUAACAUUUGAUCAUCAGCUUCUGUUUGCUCUUCUCAUAAGAACAAUACACCCUCCAGGGACACGAGCCAUCUUCACACUUCGCACCUAACUUCAAAGCAGUGGACCGGUAAAGCUUGAUGUUGCGUCGGGUUUUUAAUGUAUACCUGAGAAGGGUAUGCUUGAAUUCUUCAGCAGUGGAGAAAGUGUUUCCCAGCCCAAGCAUUGCCUCUGGAUCCACAUCUUCUCUGUAGGCUAAACUGGGAAUCGAUUGUUCUUCAUUUUCAUCAUCUGAUGAUAGAGGAUCCGGAACUUCUUUUUCAUGCUCCCAAUACCAUUCGUCCCCACUAUCUUCAUCAUUCUCACAAUCAUCAUUCCUCGCUACUUCUCCGAAGAAGACAGUCAAAUCGCGACCAGUUUCUUCCUCGAUACCACCAUGACCGUUUGCUUCAUCAGGGACUUCUUCGUUGUUUGGGACUUCAUCAGCUUCGUCGUCACCGACAACACCACAGUCAUCCUCGCUGAUUUCUCCUUCUUCUUCCCUGUCGAGUACAUCUGUUUUGCUUUUUUUCUUCUUACGUACAUCAGCUUCGUCGCCGACUCCACCUUUUCUUUUCGCUACAGAACUGGCACCACCGAGUUUCCCUUGUCGAGACUUCUUGUUCUUUUCAUUACCCAUCUUCUCUCUUCUUCUUUCUGGCGAAAUCGUGAAAUUAGGGUUCUUAAUUGAGAAAACCCCCAAAUCGAUUUUGAGAGAUAAUGAGGAAGAUGUGUUUUUUUAAUUGAAGAGAAGACGACGUCGUUUUGUUUAACGACGAAAAUUAACUGCGUUUAGACGCUUUGUUAGUGAACUUAACGCCGGGUUUAAAUUGAUCCAAUCGACAAAAAGUUUGAGGUUUUUAUGGUCAGUUAGGAACCUGAGGAUUAUAAUGGUCCAAACGAAAAAGCUGAGGAUUUAUUUAACAUUUUUCCCAAACUUUAAAUAAAAAAAUCCCAAAUAUCAUAUUUCCAAAUAUUAAUAAAAUUAAAAACUAAAAGAUAAUAAUUAUUAAUAUAUAAUCUUUUCAAAUUUACUUUUUCAAACCCUAAAUCUAGCCUUCUAACCCUAUCACACAAACCUUUACUUUAAAAUCUUAUAUGUUUUUUUGUAACACUUUUUUUUUGUUUUUAUGUAACACUAAAAAAAAUCUUAUAUGUUAAAUCUGAAAUUCAAUAGUUCUUAUGGUAACUUUAUAAAUGUAAAUGAUAAUUUAAUUUUUAUAUAAAUAAAAUUAGUUACAUAAUAAAAUUAUAAUUUAAAAAAAAAACUAUUAAAUAAAAAAUAGUUUUUGAUUAGUUAAUCUAUGACCAUUGAUUGCUUUUAAUCCAAUGGUUACAAGUCACUCUUUUAUUAAUCCUCUUCCUUUUUUCUCAUUGGUCAAUUAAUAAAACAAAGAAAAGCUUUUUUUUCUUGUAGUCGAUACUGGUUGUACUCUUCAUAUGACUCCACGAAAGGAACUCCUCUUGGAUCUACAAGAGAAGACAGCGGGUAAAGUGAGAAUGGCAAAUAACUCAGUUCAGAGGUCAAAGGAUCAAGGUCGACACGUUUUAGGAAUCUAGAUGGAACCACAUUUCUCAUACAUGAUGUGAGAUACAUGCCGAGUAUUUCAAGAAAUCUGAUUUCUCUUUGUUUGCUUGAAGAGAAAGGAUGCGAGUUUAAAUGUUGAAAUGGUACACUCAAGGUUAUCAUAGGGUGUACGGUCUUCAUAAAGGGAUCAGGAAGACAGUCUAUGUAUCUACAAGGAGAGGCAUAAGUUCUGAAGCAAAUUUGUCAGAUUCCAGUAGUAAAGAAGAUCAUAUUGGUCAGAAGGGAUUAGAAGAACUGGCCAAUAAGGGAUGUUUUGGAACUAAGAGAGUUUCAGAGAUUAAGUUCUGCGAAGACUGCAUAAUGGGAAAGACUCAUAGGACUGGUUUUCGUCUUGCCCAACAUGUUACCAGGAACAAACUGGACAACAUCCAUUCUGACUUAUGGGGAUCAUCUAACGUUCCUUAUACUCUCAGUAAAUGUCAGUAUUUUAUAUUGUUUACUGAUGAUUUCUCACAAAAUGCAUGGAUAUAUCUUUUAAGGCAUAAGGACGAGGCCUUUAGGAACUUUGUGUAGUGUAAGAAGAUGGUAGACACGAAGUCUGAAAGAAAAUCAAGAAGCUAAGAUCCGACAACGGGUUAGAAUUUUGCAAUCAGUUGUUUCAUAGUUUUCUGUAAAGAGGAAGGAAUAGUAAUACACAGAACGUUCACUUACACCCCUCAACAAAACGGUGUUGCAGAAAGAUUGAAUUGGUCCAUCAUGAAUAAAGUAAGAAGUAUGCUAAGUGAGAGUGGGCUUGGACACAUGUUUUGGGAAGAAGCUGCUGCUACAUCGGUACAUCUAAUAAACAGAUCUCCAUCAUCAGUCUUGGAGUUUCAAGUUCUAGAAGAAAUUUGGACCUUAGUUAUGCUAGAUCUCUUAGGUAUGAAAUGGUUUGGCUGUGUAGUGUAUGUACACCCUGAUGAUGGGAAACUAAAUCCAAAAGCAAGAAGUGGUGUCUUUAGGGUUACCCUGAAGGAGUUAAAGGAUUCAGAGUUUGGUGAAUGGAUGAACAAAAGUGCACCACUAGUAGGAACAUUGUGUUCUGAUAAUAUAAGGUGUUUAAAGAACUUUCAGAAGAUCAAGGUUCAAAGCAAGGUCAAUUUCAAGAUACAAGAAUCAUUAACUUCGAAGUUGAAGAUUUCGGCAUCGCUAGGGACAGAAGACCGACACGUGACAACACGUGACUAGUCUGGAUCACUUCUGUGGGGCCAGGAUACCUCUGUAUAAUUUCAAAAAAAAAAGAAGUUGAAGAUCAAAAUGAUGAGGAACUAAGAGAUAGUUCUCAAGGUGGAGUACUGAGUCAGAAGCAUAAACAGAAGAAGAGACAUGUCAAGCAAGCAAACCUGCAUCAGAUGAUUUAAACAAAGUAUCAGUUAUCAAAAGACAGAUCUCAGACGUAGAUCAUUCCACCACUAAAACUCAGUGAUUACGAAUGUGGAUAUAUGGGAUAUGAAGAAGAAUUUGAGGAGAUGAUAUGCAUGAUGGUUGAAUAUGGAGGUACAUAACCAAAUAGUUAUCAAGAAGCCAUGAGUGAUCCAGAUAGUGAAAAAUGGAAGCUGCCAAGGAUGAAAUGGUUUCACUAAAGAAGAGUGCCCCUUGGGUAUUGAUUGAUAAACCAAAGGACCAAAAGACUAUAGGUUGCAGGUGGAUCUUCAAAAGGAAAUCAGGUAUAGUUGGAGUAGAGGAUCCAAGAUUCAAGGCCAAACUAAUAGCAAAAGGUUACUCGCAGAAGGAAGGCAUCGACUACAAGGAAAUAUUUGCUCCUAUAGUCAAGCAUGUGUCUAUUAGAUACAUGCUGUCUGUUGUAGCUCAUUUUGACUUAGAACUGCAACAGAUAGACGUCAAAACGGCAUUCUUACAUGGAAACAUUGAAAAAUACACUGUGAUGGAUCAGCAUGAAGGUUUUGUGGACAAAUAUCAUCCUGAGAAAGUCUGUAUACUGAAACGAUCACUUUAUGGGCUGAAGCAGUCACCUCGGCAAUGGAAUAAGCGCUUUGAUGACUUCAUGAAGAUGAAUCAAUAUCAAAGUAGAUGAUAUCUUGAUUGCCGCUAAAAACGUCAGUCAUGUUCGGAGUUUGAAGAUACUUCUAAACAGUGAAUUUGAUAUGAAAGAACUCGGAGAUGCAAAGAAAAUUUUCUCAUGAAAAUUGAAAUAUAUAGAAAUAAGGGGUGCUUAUGGAUAUCUCAAGAAGGUUAUCUCAGAAGGAUACUAAGUAAUUUCAGAAUGGAUCAGUGUAAGUCUGUUGCAACGCUUGUGGGAGCACACUUCAAGCUGAAGGCUACAACAAAACAUGAAAUCAGAGAACAUGCAGAUCAAAUGGAAGGUAUAACAUAUCAAAGCGUAGUGGGAAGCAUUAUCUAUGUUAUGAUGGGCACUCAUCCUGACCUAGCAUAUAAGGCUGGUCUUGUAAGUCGUUUUAUGUACAAUCCAAUUCAAGAGCAUUGGAGAGCAGUGAAGUGGGUGUUAAGAUACAUUCAAGGAUCGCUUGAUACAAGACUGUGCUACAAGCGUAAAGGAGAGUUCAUUGUUAAGGGUUACUGCGACUCUCAACUUCAACAGGUUGUAGUCCUUUCAACAGCAGAAGCAUAAUACAUAUCUCUAUCAGAAGCCAUUAGAGAAGGGGUAUGGUUGAAGGGUUUACCUGAAGAAUUAGGUUUUGGUCAAGAGACGGUAGAGAUAUUUUGCGAUUCUCAAAGCACCAUUGCUCUCUCCAAGAAUGUUGUGCUUCAUGAGAGAACAAAGCAUGUCGCACAGAAGUAUCAUUAUGGUCGAGAUCUUAUAAGCAAAGGGAUAGUAGCAGUUUUGAAGAUUGCCACAGCUUACAACCCCACAUAUAUAUUUACUAAAGUUUUACUGGUUUACAAGGUGAAGGAAGCACUGAAUAUGCUUCGUAUUGGUAAGGAAUGAGCUGAGACUAUCCUGAAAAGGAUGUCGAGUCUGGUAAAGGAUUCGUGUGUUCGGUUUAGAGCACAAGGAGAUUGGUGUAGAGGUUGAUCUAUGCCUCAGGUGGAGAUUUGAAGGUUUAUAGUCAUCAGAUCAGCCACAAGUAGAAGACUCAAGCUGAAAGGAAGUUGGUCUUUCGUAGAGUCUUAAGUGUCUUAGAUACUCUGUUUGAAUCUAAGAAUUUGUAACACAUUAGUCGGUUAGUACAUGUGUCGCCUUUUCACAUGCUGUGUUAUUAAGCACGUGCAAAUAACUGAGUUAUAAAGCUAUAAGUCUGAGUCUUGAGCUGAUUAGAGUUGACUUACGGUUUUUGUUAUCAGCCAAGAUCGAGAGCGAGAGACACGAAGAAUGAUUGUACAAGGAGCUCGGUUGAGAGCAAGAUUAGUAUGUUGCUGGUUCAAUUCCAGCUCCCAUGAGCUAUAGAGGCCUUUCCUCGUUAACAGAGGGGUGUGGUUAACACUGGAUCAACAGUUGCUUGUGUUUGUGUCGAUUGAUUCAAGUUCGAUAAAUCAAGAUUAGGUCUCUAUCUUCACACCAAAAUUAUAGUGUCUAUAAGAUACAACACUAGGUUUGUAUUCAUGCCUGAUAAUUCUCUGACACUUAUUUUAACUAAUUGAUUGUAAGAGUUGUAUCAUAUUAAUAUAAUAGUUUUUUUUUUUUUUGCAUAAUAUGUUCGUUCAUCAAAACUUAUUGAUAAUGAACGAAUUGGUUUUUAUGAUUUAUUUUAACCACACACAAAAUAUGCAAGUUGGAGAAAAUAAUACAAAUCAUAUAAAAAGGUGCACAUACGUAAUAUAUCUAUUUUCGACUUUUCGUAGAAUAAAAUGAUAUUUACCUCGUUUUACCUUUGCUCUCCACUUUCUCUCUCUCGUCGGCGUCAAUAUAGUUGGCGUUCUGGUGGCUUGUCUUCGCGGCGGAACCCUAGAUCUGCUCCGGGGAGAUCUAGAUCUGACGGUCUGAAGCUUACGACUGGAAUUUCACUGAGGCGUUGCCGGUGUAAGUGGUGGUGCGUCUUUGGAGUCAAGACGUAUGGUGGCGCUCGGAGGUGAAGGGGCUGUUGAUGCGCGUUCUGGUGGUUUUAUUUCCGGGCGAUGGAGGCUUCUUUAGCUCCGUUGACGUCGGUUCUCUUGUGGGGGUGGAGGCUUUCAUAGAUCCACCGUCGUCACUCUUGCUUCCGGGAAGGUGAGGUUUCUUUAACUCUCUUCGCCGGCUUUUGGAUUACGGUGAGAGGAGGCUCACAUAGCUCCUUGAUACCGGUGUGAGACCCUUUGUUUUGGGUGUGGCGAUUAGAUCGAGGUUUAUAGAGGCGGUUGGUUCUUGUAAUCUGUGAGGCGCCGAGGAUGAGAUAUCAGUUUAAGCUCUCCGGCGACGGCGAUGAAGUUUUUAGAAGAUCUUUGUGUGGUUCUCGGCUUGACUGUCCAGCGUUUCUGGUGGUCCAAAGUCGGAGGCGAUCUCGGUUAUCUGAUGAACCCUCCGGCGUGAAGACAGUUCGGCGAUGAACGUUUGUGUAUGUGCGGAGGCUCUGCAGGUUCGGAGCUCCGGCGGUAGUUGCGUCUCCUUGCGGCGCGCCUAGGGCGAACAGCCCGGUUUCUUGUUGUUUGGGCUGUGUGGCCGGUUUGUAUUACUUGGGCUUUGGCCCAUUGUGUGUUUAUGCUUUGUGGCCCGUACUAUCGUGGGCUUCUGUUUUAAAUCUCCUGCUGUUUGGGCUUCGGCCCUAGGCUUGGUCCAUCUUUCAAUAAAAUCAAUUUGGGAAAAAAAAAAUGAUAUUUACCUUACCUAAUGUUUUAUUAAAAAAACAUUAAAUCAAGUAACGUGAUGAAGGCGACUCGAGCCUAACCAAAGUGCUAGAGACCCUGUCACUGUAGAACAAAGACAAAUAAGAACAGCUAAAGAAAGUCAGUCCCAGAUUUGUAUGCGGGCAAGAAGACAAUAUAAACAAAUAAAUAUAUGCAUCUUCCAAAUUCUAGAAAUUUUGUUAUUAAUCCACUAAUCACGGAUCUUAUGUUUUGCUGCCACAAUCUUUUUUGUUUGAUCCUUCUUUUCUUGAUAUCAAACGGUACAAUAACUAACCAGCAGUCUGGACGAGGUAGUCCAAGUGGUAGGACAGGCCUGUGGUGGCAACCACCAUCCGGGUUCGAUUCUCUCUCCAUGCGGAAACUAUCCUGCCUCUUCUGGACACCAAAGCGGUACUGGGUUCGAUCCAGCCCAGGUAAAGUCCUCCCGGGUGAAGUGGAACGCUGCCUGACCGGGCCCAGGGGAAUGACCCGCGAAGCGGGGAACCCUUGGAUUAUCAAAAAAAAAAAAUAAUAAUAACUAACCAGCAAUUAACCAGUUAAUUAUUAGAUACCACGGACAAAUUAUUUGAUACAGUAUAGUUUACCAUAUAUAUACCAUUGAGCUUCGGGGUCCUUGCAAAAUAGAUAGUAAUACAAUACUAUCAAACUAGGUUAAGAGUCUUUUUAACCUUUUGUGUAAUGCACAUAAUAGCUCGGAGGUGACGGGGCUGUUGAUGCGCAUUCUGGUGGUUUUAUUUCCGGGCGAUGGAGGCUUCUUUAGCUCCGUUGACGUCGGUUCUCUUGUGGGGGGUGGAGGCUUUCAUAGAUCCACCGUCGCCACUCUUGCUUCCGGGAAGGUGAGGUUUCUUUAACUCUCUUCGCCGGCUUUUGGAUUACGGUGAGAGGAGGCUCACAUAGCUCCUUGAUACCGGUGUGAGACCCUUUGUUUUGGGUGUGGCGAUUAGAUCGAGGUUUAUAGAGGCGGUUGGUUCUUGUAAUCUGUGAGGCGCCGAGGAUGAGAUAUCAGUUUAAGCUCUCCGGCGACGGCGAUGAAGUUUUUAGAAGAUCUUUGUGUGGUUCUCGGCUUGACUGUCCAGCGUUUCUGGUGGUCCAAAGUCGGAGGCGAUCUCGGUUAUCUGAUGAACCCUCCGGCGUGAAGACAGUUCGGCGAUGAACGUUUGUGUAUGUGCGGAGGCUCUGCAGGUUCGGAGCUCCGGCGGUAGUUGCGUCUCCUUGCGGCGCGCCUAGGGCGAACAGCCCGGUUUCUUGUUGUUUGGGCUGUGUGGCCGGUUUGUAUUACUUGGGCUNNNNNNNNNNNNNNNNNNNNNNNNNNNNNNNNNNNNNNNNNNNNNNNNNNNNNNNNNNNNNNNNNNNNNNNNNNNNNNNNNNNNNNNNNNNNNNNNNNNNNNNNNNNNNNNNNNNNNNNNNNNNNNNNNNNNNNNNNNNNNNNNNNNNNNNNNNNNNNNNNNNNNNNNNNNNNNNNNNNNNNNNNNNNNNNNNNNNNNNNNNNNNNNNNNNNNNNNNNNNNNNNNNNNNNNNNNNNNNNNNNNNNNNNNNNNNNNNNNNNNNNNNNNNNNNNNNNNNNNNNNNNNNNNNNNNNNNNNNNNNNNNNNNNNNNNNNNNNNNNNNNNNNNNNNNNNNNNNNAUUACACUAGCAUUAUAUAUAGAUUAUAUAUACACAAAUAAAUAUAAUAUAACAACAUAAGCUUGCUUUCCCCGAUUCAUAUGAAAUUUUUUUAAGUUAUCCACCAAAGCAAAUUAAUUAAAUCAAUCAAAUUGUUAGAAUACAAAAAUUAAUAUAUAAUUUUAUUUUAAAUUAAAUUAUUUAAAAAGUGUAUUUUCAUUAAAAAUAAAAUAAUAAAUAAGUAAAACUGAUUUGAUGGUAAUUUUAAUGACAUAUAUAUAUUAUGUGAAAGAAAUAUAAGCUUAAUAUGGAAAAAAAUCUUAAAUACAAAAAAUCCUAAAUUAUGAAAAAAACUAAUAAAAAUUAAACUAUGAUAUCAUUUUAAAGCUUCUUAGACAAUAUUAAUAAAAUAUUUAAGCGAUAAUUAAACAAAUUAAAUUUUAUUUCCAGCCAAAAGUUUAUUAUUAAUUAGCAUCAGUUAUUUCAAGAUGUUUAAGAAAUGAUGGACUUAAAUUAUAUAUGAACUAUGAAUAGUAGUACUUUGUAAGACUUAGAUAACACAUUUGCACAUCAUUUUCAGUCAUUUUUGAUGCCUAAAUUCAAUUUCUUCAGAGCAGUUAUUCCACAAAUAGAUCGUAUGAUAUAUUCUUUUGAUAUUCAGAUUUGUUUCUUGACUGUUCAGAAGAUUGAUAAAUGUAAAAAUGUCUCAUUCGAUAUUAUAUGUCUAUAACCGAAUCCCCAACAUGAGACAAUUUUCUUUAAAAAGUAAAUAAUUUCAUUUUUCUUAUAUUAUAUAAUAAAUAUAUAUUAUUUACUGAUAAUAAAAAUAUAGUUAUUCAUCUCCAGCCGCACCACCAGAAUCUCAGCAGCCGCACUAAGAUGGUGGAAAAAUAGAGACCGGCUUUCAAAUCACCAAGAAGAACAAAUGUGUUAGCCAUAAUUCUACAAAUAAGUUCUUUGGUUUAUCACCAAAAGUGAGGAUGAUGAGAAAGGGAUGCAGGAUUACUUUUUUAUAAAUGGACAAUCACCGCCUAGAACUGUGAUAAUUAUCAUGGAAUGGAUCGUCGUGCUUGAUAUGCAUCGAUGGAGUUAAGAUGUUCCUUAAAGACCAUUAAUUAAGAGAUCUCGUAACGUCUUAGAGGGGAUGAACGGAAGACGAUUCGACGCUAACGACUCCACACAAAGAUUCUCUUCACGCCGCUUCGUCAAUAACGACAUGCUGAAUCUCCAUUGUUAGAAGAAGAUGAAACCCUAGUUUUCGAAGACGGCUUCACGAAGGAACUGGUAUCUCUCUAUCGGGCUGGUUAGUUCUGUCUGAAUAAUGAAACCCACCGGAACAGAUUAAAGCCCAUCAUGAUUCAGUUAAUUGAAACGAUGAGUUUCAUACGUGUCACAACAGGAGCUCAUGAAUUGUUGCGCUGGCAUCCUUGUUGGCAUGUCUGGGAGAGAAACAAAGCUUCUUUUAUAUAUAAAGAUAACCGAUAGGGUUAGUUCCAUCUCGAUUUGAAAGAAAACGAAUAUUCUAUCGCCAAAAGUUUAGUCCUAAUAAUCCGUAAAUUUUAGUUUAUAAUUUAAAAAAUUGGAAAGUAUUAUAAUUAAGGAAUCAACAAAUAUGAAACAAUAUUAACUAUGAGAUUUUUAUAUUAAUUGGAAAGUGUAACACAUCUUUUGUAUAAUUCUAUGUUACUCCUUACUAUCAGUUAAGAAAUAUAAAUGUGAAUUUUAUAGUAUACUAGGGCCGGCCCGGGCUAGGUUUUUGUUUACAGUUUAAAUUUGAUUAUAUAUUUUUAUGUUUUGUUUCAUGUAUAAAUAUUAUAUUAUAUUAUAAAAAUAUAAGUUGAUUGUUUUUUGUCUUACGAAUUUCAAAAAUUUUAAUAUCCUAAUACUUAAUAUUUGAUUAUUGAAAAUUUGAUGUACGAAGAUGAACAAAAUGAACUUAAAUUAAUUAAAUUUUAGUUAUGGUGUUUGAUUGGUUGGAUUGUAAGAAUGUUUCAUUUCACUUAAUUUUGUUUCCAGUUAGUUUAUAAUUAAUUUAAUGGACAAUCUCCCCUUAAAUAUACAACCUGUUGUUGUUUAUGUUAUAUUUUUUCUUAAAUCAGCUGUUUAAAAACUGUAAUAAUUUUGACAUAAAAAAACUUACAACUAUAUCACUAAAAAUUACAUACUAAAUUCUUACAACAAAAUUUCUGCAUUUACAACCCAACUAACAGACCCAUGAUCUACAUAUAUCUUUUUUCCAUGAUCUAAAUAUUCAUUUUAUCUUACUUAUAUAAGUUUAGAUGUAAGAUAUUGUUCAAUGUACAAACAAUUAAUAUUUAUUUUAGUUUUAGAACCAUUGAAUUCAUAACUUUCAAUGGGGGUUUGAAAUUUUGGCUUUUCAAAUUGUUUGUUCCACUUCGUCCUACGUUUGUUUUGAUGUAAUUUCACCGUCUAUUUUUUUUACAGACAAUAUAUAUACAUACAUAUAUAUAUAUAAUCAAUUUGGAACAAUGAUCAUAUCCAUAUUAUUAUCUCUAAAUUGGUUGUUGAUCAAAAUAGUUAUUACCAAAGUAUAAAAAAAAUUGUGUUGUGGUUCUUAUUUAUAUUAUAGUUGUGAUGUUACAGGGUGAUACACUAAUGCAGGAUAUCCAGCUGAGGUCUUUUCUCUUAGAAAACAAAAUAUUGACAACCAAGAUAAGCUAUUUAAAUAUGUCUAGAUCGUGUCUUCACUAUCGUUUCCACAUCUCAACUACGAACCAAAUAUGGCAGAGUUUGUGGUUGACCAUCCCCAGAUUAAAUCACCUUUAAUUAAAAGGGUGUACCAUUGGUAGAUUAUUAUGGGAUGAAAAUUAGAUUAGAAAAAUGAUAAACGUGCUGAAAACUAACACCUGCCAUCUUGAUGAACUUGAUAAAGCGCGGUGAAGGUAUGGCGAUGACUGAGCCUGAAAUUUUGAAGUGAUGGUUGAUCUUGCUACAUCUAACACACCAAGCUCGUAAAUAAAUCCUUCUUUGAACGGUGAUGGAUCCAUGUUUGAGGGUCGAAUGUGAAGAGGAGUAAUGAAAGAUAAUGACAUUUACUGUCCCUGCAAGUUGCGAGACGGUGAAAAUUCAUGGUGGCUUGCAUGAGGGUCGACUGGAAAAUGAGAGAAAGAGAGCAUAAUAAACAAAUGGUUUAAAAAUAUCAAUUCAAAAAAUAUUUGUUAAAGAUCUGAAUAAAAACGCUUGAUGAUUAUGAAUGUGACCACCGGAAAAGUUAAAACUACUACGAUCAUGAUAUUUAAGAAUGGGAAAACAUAAUCAACACACAGUUUCAAAAUUUCUCAUUGAAAAUUGAUUCAAUAAAGAUCUGAAAAAAAAUUUAUCCUUAUGAACGUGAAAACGGGAAAAUUUCAAAAACUCCUACGAUCAUGAUUCAUGAGAAUUAAGAACGGUAAAACAUAAUCAUAAAAGGUUUCAAAAUAUCUCAUUCAAAAGAGAUUCAAAAAGAUCCAUACUUAUGAAUGUAAAAGUCAGCGAAGUUCAAAACUAUUAUGAUCAUGAGAUUUAAGAAAGAAAAAACCUUCGUAUCAAGGAGGAGCAAGUUCACUCUCAUCAACUCGCCACCGCGUUUGAAGUUUCUAGCCGUAGACGGUCGAAGAACAGCGACCAGCCUUCAAAUCAGUAAGAAGAACAGAUGACUUAGCCGUUAUACUGCUAAUGAGUUUCUGUAGAUUAUCACAAACUGGGAAGAUGACUUUGGAGGGACGAAGGCCUACCUUUUUAUAAAUUUGAUAAUUAUGAGUUUAGAUGUACCAUUUAUUUAAGAAAAAAUGAUGAACAUGAGUUUGACUAAUGGAUUCACCUUAGCGUCUAAGAGGAGCAUAUGCCGACAACCGCUACCAACCGUAAAAGCUGUGUUUGCGGCUGGUAGCGGAAAAACCAGCCGCCCCCUAACAGAGGUAACCGAUGAAUGAAAACAAAAAAUACCAGAGCAUUACACUUUUUUCGUCUAAAAUUGUGAUAUGUUAAGGGUAUGACUGGUUUUCCCGCUAUCACCCGCAAACGCAGUUUUUGCGGUUGGUAGCAGUUGUUGGCGUUUUGCAACAAUCGUUCAAACCGCUCCAAACCGCUCCAAAUCGCUAUGAACCUCAUAAAUUCAAAAGUUGGUUCCAGCAAGCGUUUGCGGUUGCGGGAGGAUAAAAAAAGUUUCUUUUUUUCUCCAAAACAAUAUAAAUACAAAAAUAAAAAUAUUCAAUAAAAAAAUUAAAUUGGAACUAUAAAAAUACUAUAAUAUAUCUAUUAUAUUUUAAUUAAUAUUAUAAAACUUAAAAAUAAAAAUAUUUUCUAUAAGUUUUAAAAAAUCUAAACUAUAACAUUCUAAAUAUAAAUUUUAUAUUAUUAUAAUAUUAUUAUUUUGAUAUUUUUAUAAUUAUAUAAAAGGUAAAUAUUGUUAAUUUAUUAUUUAAUUGUUGUUGCAUUUGGUAGUUAACCAGUCAUAAGUAUUCCGUAAACACACCAAUUUUUAACCGCAUAACCAGUCAUACAAAUCUCUUAAAAUCGCUAGAAACCGUAACCACUUGCAUCCGCAAACUCCCACAACCGUAACCGCAGUCGCUGCGGUUGAACCAGUCAGACCCUAACAAAAGAAAAAGUCCAAGCCAUUACAAAAAUACAGGAUGAAAAACAAUCACAAGCAAAACAUACACCAAACAUAAUGUUACAUUUACAACUCAAAAAUUCCUUGAGCCAAUAUGGUGGACCACAAGCUAUAUAUAUAUAAUUGCCAACGAUCUUAUUAGUGACGCUUUUAACUAUUAAAUAAGUCACAUCAUUUGCAUUUGCUGAUCUAGGAGAUAGUUCCUGUAAGACAAGAUUCUGGGUUUCCAAACCCAAUAAGACCCGUGUGCUGGACCCAAUUUCGAUCAAUUAUGUGAUUGGGCCUAAAUAGCCCAGGCCGCACAACCUACAAAGAAGCCCAACUCCGGCUGGCACGAGGAGAUCGAUUUGAAGAGCUAGAGAUCGCGGAGGAGUUGAGAAAAAUCUGAAAUGAACCCACUAUAAGAAAUGAUUGAUGGGAACGAGGAGAGACGCAGAGAAAACCCUAGAAAAGCUAUACACACAUAUCGACCUCAUUUCACUUUGCUUUAAGUCUUUUCUCUUAUCGACCUCGUUUGUAACGUCGGAUCUUAUUCUUCUUGUUGUAUUCGAUCUUAUUCAUCAAUAAAAAUUCAUCUUUGCCUACUGUAAUAUGAUUAUAUCGUUGUGUUCUAAAGAUAUUGUUGCUCACAUCUUCUUUUCUUAGUGUAAAUUUUAGGAUCUACAUUUUGGCGCCGUAUGUGGGGAAGAUAAACGAAAAACAUAUUUUCUAAGAAACCGAUUUAAGUUUCCUAAGCGCGACUAUGGAUCCCAAUCAAACCAUCGGAACCACGCAAUCAAGAACGACGUCAAUCUUGCCGGAUCUGACUCAAGAACCAAAAACAUACAUGCAGGACCGACAAGUACAUAUAGGAUGGUCGAAACGACCCAAACGAAACGGAUCCCUUCGAUCGGAACCUCAAACCAGGAUCGAGCAUCAAGCCACGAUCGAGCUCCAGCGUCAGAUCGGACCUCAGCACCAGAUCAAACCUCGGUUCCAGAUCGGACCUCGAUCCCCGACUGAACCAGAGCUCGAGUCUGGAAUCGUCCCGGAGAAAGGCAGCCUACCGAUAACCUAACCCGAACUUAAUCGACGAGGCCAAUAUCUCUGACCCCUCUAGUUCAAACUCGAGAAGAAGUAACCGAGCUUCGAGGAAUGGUCUCGGCAUUAAUUGAAAAAUCUCGAAACCAAGAUACCGCCUAUUGAACCAUUGCUAAUCGACUGGAUCAUGCCGAACGGGAACUCGCGGAACACCGAGCUAACGCCCGAGAAAGAAACCAACAGCCAUCCGGUCCAUCAAGGGGAACACCGAAUUCCUUAAAUCUUUGAGCUUUUAGCACUCCAAAGUUCCCAAUCGCUCGAUCCAGACGCUACAUGGGAGAAAACUCGCAACCCCGCAACAAGGCAUGGCCUACUGAUGCUUUAGCUACAGUGGACUGUACGAAAUAGAUACCGGGCUACAAGGCCCACGAAGUACGUCGAUCCAACCACGAAACGGGUACGCGGAAAGACCUGGUGAUCCAAGAACGCGAACUCCACCACUGGGCGACCCAAGCUCCGAGAAUCAAACUCCACCUGCUACGGGAACUUUACAGCAAACUGGAUUCGGUGAUCCAACGGGACAAGCCCGAGGAUACGGCCCCUGCGGAUCCAUUGACGCAGAUCCUCGAAGAGAAGACCAGAUAGUCCUGAAUUAAACCGGAACUUUCCAGAAUUACAUCAAAAGAAACGACCCCGAGCUCAAGAGGAUACACACCAUCAUGCAUAUGGAAACAAGCUCAGCUCCGGACAUAUAUAUGGUUAUCAAAGAGACAAGAAGGACUUCGUUCACGAAUCGAAUGGCCAGCAUAAGACUACACCAUGUGGGAAAACUAAAAUUCCCGAGUAUGCCAGGAACUCAGACUCUAAAGCUCACAUACGAGCCUUCCGACUAGCAAUAUCGAGAGCACAUCUCAACGAUGACGAAAUUGAGGUCGGCUACUGUCGCUUCUUCGCCAAAAAUCUUACCGGGGCUGCUCUCGAGUGGUUCGCUGGCCUGGAAGAAAACUCAAUCGAUAACUUCACCCAGUUAGUAUCUACGUUCCUCAAAAAAUACUCAUUAUUCAUAGAAACAAAGGUUACCGAGGCGGAUCUAUAGAAUCUCAAGGAAGCACCCUUUGAACCGCUAAGAGCGUACAUAAACAAGUUCAGAGAAAUCAAGGCGAAGAUUUCACAUCCGAACGAAGUUAUGGCCUUGGUAGCACUAAAGAACUGCGUCUGCUUCUCAUCCAAAUUCCGAGAAGAAAUGGCGGUACGAGCACCCGUUUCGUUAGACGACGCCCUACAUCGAGCCUCCUACGUCGCAACCCAGGAAGAAAAGGUCGCCGCUUUAAAGGAACAGUACAGCACAAACAAAAAUAACGCCAGCAAAAAUACUAAUGCUCCUAAAGAACCAGCAACUAAAGGGCAACACUCCUAUGCGAUAAACAUUUCGCCGCAAAACAAAUUGUCGACGUACGAUCUCAACAAAUUUGUGCCUUCCAUAAUCAGAAGGGUCCUUCGACCGAGGAAUUUCGAACAGCACUUCGCAGUCAAAACGAAAAUAAACAAACCAGCGAAGAUAAUGACGAAGAAGACGUGCCAGCAACUCCGAAAACCAACCGGAAAAUUAAAGGCUCUUCGAAUAAAAGAAAUAGGGAAACCGAGCUUGAAUCACCUAGCUCUCCACCUCCAGCACCAAAGAAAAGAGUCGACAUGAUUUCAUGGUAACCAAAACGUGAAACCCCAAAUAAAAUCGAAGGUCAGACCGAAGGAAAGGUGUCCAUCGAUAUAAUGGUAGCAAUCCGCGCCUUAGAAGGCCUCGACAGAGCCUCCCCUCCCUAAUACAAUCCAAAUACGAAGACUCCCUUCAAAAAUCCUCAACCUUAAGCGAAAUCAUAAGAUGGCCAAUGUCCGAGAACUACUAGAGAGACCUGUCUGGGGGACAGAAACACUACCAACUAGCACCGACCAAAAAAAGGGACUUCCCGACUUAUGACAAAAACAAAAAAACGAAUCGACUUUAUAUACGGAGGCUUUAAAUUCUGCAACUCGGUUAACUCGAUCAAAGCAUACCAACGAAAAGCCAAAAACAACGUAGGAAUUAGAGAGCCCCUAUCAGGUCCCGACCACAAAAUAACUUUCGACGAGAACAAAAAUGCAGAUCUUGACAAAAUACACGACGACGCCCUCGUAAUACGACACGACGUCGGCGGUUGCGAACUAUCUCGGGUCAUGCUUGACACAGGAAGCUCGGCCGACGUCCUUUUCUACGAUGCGUUCAAAAGGAUGGGAUUCACCAAAGCCCUCUUUAAACAAGAACGAACCCCAUUAAUCAGUUUCACAGGAGAAACUACUCACUCCCUCGGAUCAAUCGAGCUCGCCAUAACCGCUGGAGAAGUCAGAAAAUCCGUCGAGUUAAUCGUGAUAGAUCGUCUAGCCCCGUUCAACACAAUCCUUGGAAGACCUUGGUUGUACAGCAUGAAGGCAGUUCCCUCAACCUAUCACCAGUGCCUGAAGUUCCCAACUCCAAAAGGGAUCGAAAGUAUCAAGGGAAGCCAGAAAAGCUCUAGAACCUGCUACCUCACAAGCUUUAAAGAUAUCGAGCCACAUCCUUAAUCAGCGCUCAAGACACCGAAUACACGUACACACGUACACGAACAACAUAAUAAAAAACCCUACAUCUAGGGAAAACAAUCAAACUACGUUGUGACUUGAUCCCUCAUCGAGGGUACGUAGGCAACUCACGACACGAGUUCAGUCACCCACCAACCACAAAGUCUAAAAGAUGCAUACCGCAACCCACUCCGAUCAACACUCGAAGUACGCUAGCACGACAACAUCGACCUUGGACUAAAAGUCAAGCACCAUCUUUGUACCAAAUUUGUACCAUACCGACAUUUUGAAUAAAAAUUCAAGUUUGAUUCAAAACACAUCAAGUUCAUUAGAUAUCCCAUAUCUGCAAAGUAGAAAUUCUCGAAAUACUCAAAAACGGCUGGCUGCAAACCGAGACCUUGAUCAAGUCUUCGGGCACAGUCAGCUCCGCCAGAAACGCGGCAAAGCUCAUUAACAAAAUCUUUUGUCAUACCAAACAAACCUCGAUAAAAGUAUCUACAAUAACUCGACCCACGGCCUCGAAAGAUCGGCCCACAUAAGAACGAAAAAAUAAUUCAAGAACUCGCAGUCUCUUUUCUUUAUUGAUAUAAUAACGCAACAAAAACAGAAGGAAAAAACAAAAGCAAAACGCGAAUCCCUGAAACUACUCUUCGGCCUCAAAUUCGCCAUCCUCGAACUGACCACCUGCACGCUUUGCCUGAGCCAUCUUCAAACCGAGCUUUAGCUCAUGAACGACCUUCUUAAUCUCGUAAAUCUCGUCGAAACACGGGACAUCCUGCAAACGCCUUUCUAAAGUCGCCGCGAACUCAUUAUUAGCCUCCAUAGCCUAGAACACGAAGAAAAACGAAUUGAGGAGUAAAUAUUAUAGCCAUUAAAAAGCCAACUUUAGCAUACGCAACAACCAUCUUAACGUAGGCAUCGCGCUCUGUCAAUUUCGAAGAGAAGGGAGCAGACACCCGGGCAGCUUGAAAUGCCUGACCAGAUAAGAAACGCUGUCCGGAUCUUCUGUGAUCGGACAAUCUUUGGAAUGAGAAAAUUGCCAAUGAAACGGUUUUGCAACAGUGUUGUCGCCCGAGACACCAGGACGAUGAUCAGUACCAGUAACCUUCGCCUUCUUCAGAGGAUGAUCUCGCCCCUCCCAGCUAUUCAGACUGUUUGAGCUCAUACGAACCACCACCUUUUCUCCUCCAAGAUCCUUCCCCUCUCCACUAGCGGGAGCACGGGGAAUUCGGGUAUCCUCGCAAAGAACUUCUGUAAGCACUUCGCUCACAUCACCAGAACGAAUUCGUUCUGCGCCGACACUCCCAUUCCAGCCUCGUACUUUUUCAAACUCACUGGAAUUCACUCUUCUCGACGACAUGUCAAUAAAAGAAAAAGAGGAAGCCUGGGUUCAAAAUAUGGAACCAAUACCAAACAAAACGAAACGUUAUAAAGGGCAAGGCACCACAGGAUCUCAACAGGAAGGAGGAAUAAACUCUUUCAAAGAAAAGAUAUUCCGAAAGUCAUAUUUAUCUAUUCAAAAACUCAAAAUCAAAUACGAAACAGAAAAGAUCGCUCAGAUCCGAUACAAAAACAAUAAAAACAAAAAAGAAAAAAAAGCACAAGACAACCUAAGAGCUAGCUUCUUCUCUUGCAGAUGAGUUCGCAGCCAGAAACUUGAGGAAGAUCAAGACCCGCAACCAACCAAUCCGGAACAGCGGCCAAAUUAGCAGCGGCUUUUCAGUCUUUCUCCAUCUCCUUCAGACGAACGAUCUCGUCUUCUACAUCCAGCCCAUCCUCCUUGAUUUCGCUCAGCAGAUUGAGGUUAGCAACUACUUCGUGGAGUUGAAUCUCAGCAGACACUUCCUUCUUCUUGUCAACCCAUCUCUUCUCCAAAGAAGUGAGAACCUCUCAGAAGCCACUAGCAACCUCACGACGAGUGGCGCAGGAACCCUUACGGAUAUCCCGGUCACGAUCGGCCUCGGUCUCAAAGACCACCCUUUCCUGACAUGCUAUUUUCCAUUCGUCCCUCAAGAUCAUCGCCUCUCCAGUUUUUUUCCUAGCCUCCUCCUUGGCCGUCCGAAGCUCCUUUCUCCACCUCACUCGCUGUGAAGAGUAUGCACAAGAUCCUCCAUCGUCACAGCAAACGCGCUAAAAGCUUCCAUAAUCUGGAAAGGGAAAAUCUCGAAUUUAGUGCCUUAGCACCGCUAACAGAAAUACAUAUAGCUCAAUGAAACCAACCUUGGAGCUCACAAUGACUACUUUGGGGUAAGCCCCCUCCUCAUCAAGAGAAGCGAGAGACGGAGGGCGACAAUCCAUGGACCUCGUACGACAAGCAAGAGAAACGAGAUCGCCUUGGCCCAUUGAUAAAGGACCAUCGCCCUCGAGGACGAGCUUCCAUCCCUUCGAUUCUCGCUUAGAACGAGACCGCUAGUGCAUAAUGGCCUUCAACGAUCGACGCCGCUUACGGCUCGCAGAAAUGGAGUUAUCCUGCAAACCGAGACUCAAAGGAACAGGGGAUCCCCAGCCUCCGGGGGCACCCUUCAGCAUCCGAGUCCAGAAUUGGGAUCAGAGGUGGCCUGCUAGCGACCUUGCCCGCUGACGCCGACCUGGAGGUACGAAAUGACAACCUCCUCGCAAGCUAUCUUGCCAACCUAUCAGAAGGAGGGGGAUAGCUAGAGGAAGACUCUACAUAUUCCUGAGAGUGCUCCGCUUCAUCCUCCGAGACGCCUGCGAUCUCCGUGGCAACACUCGAUCCACCCGGCAUCUGGAAAGCAGCUUGAAUUCGAGAAUGAUCAAAAGAUGAUCAAUCCGAGCGACCUCUCCGGAGAGGUUCGAUUAAACCCUGAAGCCCGUCGGUCAUAGAAAAUCUGCCCGAAUGAAUUAGAGCAAGCAAAAAGGAAGAAAAAAAUUGAUCAAAAAUUGUUAGUGCAUGCAAAAUAAGCAAAAGUACCAUAGAUGAACUCACUUAUAUCCUCAACCCAGUAGCAGGGAAGUUUCGAGAAAGCAAAGCUUCCCACAGACGUUUCGUAGAUUUUGAAGACAAAAAACUCCUCCCACCAGUUCUGAUCACGAUACGGAUGCCCUGUAUGAUUUGAUGCCCUUGACGUGGAGACAUAAGAAAAGUCCCAGGGUUUUGGUUGUUUCGUUUCAUCAGAACGAGGUGACAAAGCUCGUCGAGGCCAAACAAUGGACCCUCCUCUCGAGCCUAGACCAUGAACGCCAAAAGAUGUCUCAAGAAAUUAGGGCACAUCUGAGUAAGCGACAAACCCAGAUACACUAAAAUAUUAGAGACAUGCUCCAGGAUCGGAAAGAAAAGACCACAGGUCUCAAAGAAGGAGAGAUACGCCCCACCGUAUCCAGCCCUAACACCUUCCGGAGACUCAGACGUAGAAUCCAAUCAACAACAACAGCCAUAUAAACGCCGUGAACGGUGUAAAGCUCCUCGAGCCGAUCAGCCUUGAUCGUCGGAAGAGGAUAGGAAAACGAUGGAGCCAUCUCAGAAAAAAUCAACAAUUGAAGGUCGUUGAUAUGAAAAGAGAAAGAAUAAAAUUGAGGCAGUAGAGCGCUUCUGGGUACUUAUAAGCCAUCGCAAGCCCUAACGGCUCUAUCACCAAAACCGAGAGGUUUAAUGAUUCGCCCUAAGGCAGCGCAUAUAGCUGUUGCGUCGAGAAAUCAAAAAACUCGCGAAGCAACGUGCGAAGUCUAGAUUGAAUAGACCAUAUAUCUUCCUUCAACCUGAAGAAAAGAGAUUGGAGGACAAAUUUUGGACCCAAUUUCGGUCAACUAUGUGAUUGGGUCUAAAUCGUCGGGGCCGUGCAACCUACAAAGAAGCCCGACUCUGGCUGGGAAGAGGAGAUCGAUUUGAAGAGCCGGAGAUCGCGGAGAAGUUGAGAGAAUCCAAGAUGAACCCACUAUAAGAAAGGAUCGAUGGGAACGAGGAGAGACACAUAGAAAAUCCUAGAGAGAGCUAUACACACACAUCGACCUCAUUUUAUUUCGCUUUAAGUCUUUUCUCAUAUCGACCUCGUUUGUAAUGUCAGAUCUUAUUCCUCUUGUUGUAUUCGAUCUUAUUCAUCAAUAAAAUCCAUCUUUGCAAAUCUGAUGAUAUCGUUGUGUUCUAGAAUUAUCGUUGUCCACAUCAUCUCUUCUUCCCCAGAUUAAACUUUCAAUCACUAUAAAAUACUUAAAUUUACACCGCAGCUACACCAACUCAAUCCGACUCUUGAUUCAUUUUAAGUCCAAUAUUUACUGUCAUUUUCAAUCAUAUGAGGUUUAGAAGAUAAAUCGACCAACAUAUAUAACAUUUAAGGUAAAUCGAUCUUGUAUUAAUAAUAAAAAUGAGAUUCAAUACAUAGGUUUAAGUUGCAUUAUAGGCUAUCAUAAGUUAAUUCCUAAUUCGAUCUAUCUAUACACCACACAACUUCACGCUGACAGAGUCUUCACGGCUCUUUGCUUGUACCACGAGUAAACCUCAGAUCCUUAAAGCAUAUACCAUUCACAUUAAUCAUAAUCCGUUGUCCUAACAAUCAAUUCGAACAAUGUAUGAUUUGAUUCCCUUAUCUAAUUCAUAAACCUCUAUUAAAUCAUCCAUACUUACAAUUAUUCUAAGUACAAUCACAAUCUAUAAGAACCAUAACCGAACCGCCCAUGAUUCAAUCCAACCACAUGACAAGGAUCUAGGAUCAAUCGUUUUAUCCAUUAGUCCGGCCCAUUGGCCAUGGACUUACUUACCAGAAUCGGCCAAGCCUAGGCCCAUGAAACCGAUUUGAGACAGGACACAAACGUGUUGUCUCUCAGCCGUUUGGUCUAGUAGAUCCCACGCCGCGGUUGAUCAGACCUUGGCGCGCAUCCGGCUGAAUGGCCAUGGAUCCCAGUUUGGAUGAAUCCGGUAAUGAGAUCCUAGAAUUCUCCUCUGGUUAUGGGAAGAGAGACAAUGGAUAAUCCUUGCAGCAGAGAGAUAAAGCUCGAUCAGAUCAAGGCGUGUGGGAUGAAUGGUAACACCAGAGUCUGCGGAAAGGCUCCUUGAUACUCCUAUAUGACUAGAUUGGAUAUGACACACCGAGAUAAAUACUCUUAACUCUGGAUAUUACUCACCAGAACAAUCAAACAACUCGAAAAGCAAGAGGAUGAAAGAGAUAAAGGGUUUUAGAUAAAAGAUUGCCUGACUUAGAAAGAGUUUGACACAAACUUAUAAAGAGACAAGUUGGAACACGCUCUAAGCUUUCUCGAAAACUAAAGACAAUAAAGAGAACUGGCUUCCUUGGGACUCAAACAGGACUAAACACUUAGAGUUUAAAAACAUAAAAACAUGACAUGAAAACUUAGAAAUAAAAAUAACAUAAGAUAGAUAUGUGAUUGAUCCGAGAUCAUCAUCCAUGCGAUAGGAGAAGCAACUUGUGGCCUCAUUAAAAACCUUGAUUGGAAAACCCAAUGGGACAGAGCGAAUCAAGGGAAAAAGAAUAUACAGAAGCUACUUGCCUAGAUGAUGAUCAGCUUGAAGGUGGAGUAGCUUGAAUGGUGAUGAGUGUGUCUUGGCUGAUCAAGCCUCGUCCAAGACCUUCUUCUUGCUUCGAAGCUGUCUUAAGCAAACAUCCAAUAGCUUCAUUGAGUUUCUUGGUUCUGGAACGAGUCAUAUGACCAUUAGGAAUGGUUAAGACAUCCUCAUCAGUCGGCUUGCCCAUGAUCUCAUUAUCCUCAUCAACUAGCUGGUCCAUGAUCACAAUAUCCGGCAUAAACCAUGAAUCCUUGUAACCACUUGGGGAUAGAGUAAAACCGGUUGCCUAUCAACCGCCUAGUCCAAUUGGUCCAUCCCUUGGCCGAUCAAACCAUACGCGCGUCCGGCCCAGAGGCCCUAUUACCAUCCCCAAACCAUUAUAUCUGAUCGCACAUACAAAAGGAAGAAGAAGAAUAUAAUCAAAUACAAAGAGAGAGAGUAGGAUAUAACCGUUCGCCCAUGGCCUUAGACUCGAUCGGACCAACCGAAGAUCCUAGCCGAUGGAUCGCCUGCUUACUCCACUGACCUUGGAUGUGUGCUCUUGUUGGUUGGAGUCCUUCUCUAAACCUGUAUCCUUGUCUUUUGUAUCCAUCUCUAAUCGUCCCUUAUUAUCUCAGACGAUCUCUCUCGCCAGGAAAAAUUCACCACCACAACCGGCCUUGUCUUGGUCGAAUAUCUCUCUCUCUCUUUAUUUCUCUCUUCUCUCGGUCUUUGCCUUUUGUUUCUUUAGAAACUGAUGAAUGAAAUCGACCAGAAGGUCCUCUAUUUAUAGAUAAUUGGGUCGGCCAACUGCCAUGGGCGAACAGGUGUGACUUGUUGGUCCAAUAAGUAUAACAUGUUCCAUAGUCCCAUUUCGCCACAACUGCUUCCUAAUGGGCUGGACCUGGGCCUAGACCCAUUACCAAAGCAUGUGGUUGGUCGCAUGGACCCCUCGGCCCAUUAAAACCUUGGGUCGACCACCUGGCCCGACCCCGGUCCGGACCCGGACUAACGGUCCAAGACUCGAACACUCAGUCCAUCUGAGCUGAAAUGACUCCCAGCUAAUCCACCUGAGUUAGCUAGUUCCUCCAGCUAGUUGAGUUGAAUCACUUUACCCGAACUCCGACCGAGCUUCGUCUAGGUGGUCGAGCUUCAUGUUUGUAUUGCCCAGCUACCGUUAUACUCUUCCAGCUUUCUUAUCCUUGUUUCUAUUUUUAUUUGGCUAAGUCUCAUCCUUCUGAUGCACUUAACCUUCUAUUUAGGCCAUGGUACGCUUGCCUUCAGGUCAUACGACCGGUUGGCACGUUUCCUCGAACUAUGGCCUAUUCCGACGAUCUUAAAUAGGAUCUGGGACAUGACAGUUCUAUCCUCCAAAAACUAACUUGGAAAGAAGACUAAGAUUCAAAUUAAAAUGAAACUUAAAAGAGGGCCAUGCUGGUGGUUUAAAACAGUACCACAGAGGAUGAGUCUUCAACAGCAAAUACCACACAAAUCACAUCAAUAACAUAAAAAUUCAUGUUAAAUAGAACGCAAAGUCUUUUCCUUUUUUUGAAGAAAGAAUGCAAACUCUAUAACAAAAAAAGUCAUGUUAAAUGGAAUAAAAACUCCUCGAUAUAUUUAAAAAUAAAUUUAAUCAAAAUUCUUACUAAUUAAUAAAGCUAUCUGAGUUUUAAUUAUCUUAUUCAUAUUUAUAAGAAAUAAGAGUGAAAAUACCUUUCUCCGGUGGUUUUACUGUUUCAAAAUACUAAAAACAGAGCAGUUUGUUGCGGAGAAAUCAUGUCUAUCAAAAGGGUUCUAUAUGCCGAAUCGUCUAUUGAUCCGAAUGUUAGGAAAAAAGCUACACCGUGGAAUUAUUUUCUGUGAAAUUGUUCAUCAUAAUUAUAUGUGUUGCAGAUAUUAAUCAUCGUAUGUAAUUAAAUAAAUAUGAUAUAUUGAUAUAAUCCAUGAUUUGUGUUUAAAAAAAACAAGAAAGCCCACAUGUUGUCGUAUAUGCAUGAUUAACCCCGGUCUUUUAGGCGGGGUUCUUAAUUCAUGAUUUGACUCUUUUUUUAUUUACAUUUUUGGCUAAAAGACGGCUCUUAUAUCUCCUAUUUAAGAGACGGUUCUUAGCUUUUCUUAGUUAAAAUUUAAAAAAAAACUAAGAAUUAUCUCUUAACCGAAGCUAAGAACUCCAAUUAAGAGACUGGGGUUAAUCAUGAUCUUAAGAGCAUGAUUAACUCGAGUUCUUAAUUUGAAGUUCUUAACUCAUGAUUUAACAUUUUUUUGAGUUUCUUUUUAAUAUUUUUCGGCUAAAAACCAGUUUUUAUAUCUCUUAUUUAAAAAACAUUCUUAGUUUUUCUUAAUUAAAAACUAAGAAACAGGGCCAAAAACCCCACCAUAAGAACCCGGAUUAAUUAUGGUCUAAUCCUACACAAUCUAGAAACAACACUGUAACGUUAGUUCAAUUAGUCAAGCCGCCCCUACCAGUCCAUCAUUUUAUAUUUAUAAAAAUAUCAAAGCAAAUUAACAUUCUUUGUAUAGAUAACUUCAAACAGGCAAAUACUAAUCAAACAAACAAACCAAUACAUUGACUUUACCUCUAUAAAAGCUACGCUAAAUAUCAACAAAAAGAUCACACAUACACAGACCACAAGUAGUAAAACCAAUAUAAAAAUGACAAACAUCUCACUCUCUACAUUCAUAUUCUCCAUUCUUUUACUCAUCUCCACCGCGACCGCCGCAACAUUCGAGAUCAUUAACCAAUGCGGUUACACCGUAUGGGCUGCCGCAAGUCCUGGAGGGGGCAGGCGUCUAAACUCAGGCCAGUCGUGGACAUUAAAUGUUCCGGCUGGAACGUCUAUGGCACGGAUCUGGGGUCGGACCAAUUGUAACUUUGACUCCUCGGGGCGUGGCCGAUGUGAAACAGGUGACUGUACUGGUGGACUUCAAUGUACCGGUUGGGGGCAGCCACCAAAUACGUUGGCUGAGUAUGCUUUGAACCAGUUCAACAACUUAGACUUCUACGACAUUUCACUUGUCGAUGGAUUUAACAUUCCUAUGGAGUUUAGGUAAGAAUAUCAUCUCACGAUAAUCUUUUCAUAAAUUUGAAAUAUUCAGGAAACUUUUCGGAUCAUAAACGUGAAAUCGGCGGUGUUCAAAACCUCAAUAAUUGGUUGGUGAAUCUAGAGGUUCACCCUAGGGGAUGAACCCAAGAAUAACUCGUUCUUAUAUAUUGAUAACAUUAAAAUCGGUGAACCCUAUGACUUAUCUCACGAUAAUCUUUUCAUAAAUUUGAAAUAUUCAGGAAACUUUUCGGAUCAUAAACGUGAAAUCGGCGGUGUAUACAAGUAUAACUCGUAAAUAACUCUUUUCAACAACUUAGACUUCUACGACCUUUUGCUUUUGUAUACAAGUAUAAAACAAUCAUAAAAGUUUGAAAAGUAAAGAAAAAAUAAAUAUUGCGUGCAAUGAAAGAAAUCUUGCUUGCUAAUUAAAUCUUGUAGGCACUAUGGAAACAUGCCGAAAAUAGCUUAGCAAAAGAAAAAUCUGAANNNNNNNNNNNNNNNNNNNNNNNUCCCUAGGUUCACCAACCAAUAGGAUUAUGUUAUUUCAAAUUUAAUAUCUUUUAUAAAAGAAAAUAAAAUAUUGUCAAGUUAUAUUAUGUUUUAAAAAUAAAAAAUAAAAAUAGUAGUAAUUACAAAAAUAAUAUUUUUAAGUCGUCAGAAAAAAACUAAACCCUAAAUCCUAAUCCCUAAAUCCGAAACCCUAAACCCUUGGGUAAACCAUAAUCUUUGGAUAACUCUAAAUCAAAAACAUUAAACACUAAAAUACUCAAGGGUUUAAGAUUUUAGUGUUUUUGAUUUCAAAUUUAUGAUUUAUCCAAGGGUUUAGGAUUUACCCAAGAGUUUAGGAUUUACCCAAGGGUUUAGGGUUUAUCAAAAGGUUUAGGGUUUACCCAAGAGUUUAGAGUUUCGGAUUUAGGAUUUAGGGAUUAGGAAUUAGGGUUUAGUGUUUUGCUGACGACGUUAACAAUAUUUUUUAAAAAAAAUAUUUUUUUUGUAACUAUUAUUUUUUUUACCUUUUUAUUUUAAAAACAUAAAAUAAAUUGAAAAUAUUUUGUUUUCUUUUUUAAAAGAUAUCAAAUUUGAAAUAACAUAAUCCUAUUGGUUGGUGAAUCUAGAGGUUCACCCUAGGGGAUGAACCCAAGAAUAACUCGUUCUUAUAUAUUGAUAACAUUAAAAUCGGUGAACCCUAUGACUUCGGAACCGCCAUUAAGUUUGCAUCCGAUAAUUUGCAAAAAAAAAUGUUUUUCUGUUAAUCGAAUCGUAGACCUAGGGUAAAAACUAUUAAAUCUUGACCGAUAGACGACCGUACAUUCACUCUUCUUUCUAUAGAUAUGAAAAGAUAUAUUAUUUUUUCAAAAAAAAAAAAAGAAGAAUCGAUGACUCUUUGCUGGUGGAGAAAAAAAACGGUUACAAUUGAAACUCUAUUGUAUAAAAACGUUUUGAGUCGAUAAUGAAUAUUUUUUUUUGUUGGUGCCAUAUUGUAUCUUCAGCGCAACCAGCUCAAAUUGCAAGCGGAUACUAUGCACCGCAGACAUAAACGGACAGUGUCCUAACGUGUUAAGAGCGCCUGGCGGUUGCAACAACCCGUGCACGGUUUUUAAGACGAACGAGUACUGUUGUACAAACGGGCAGGGAUCAUGUAGCCCCACAGGCUACUCAAAGUUCUUCAAAGAUAGAUGUCCCGACGCCUACAGCUAUCCACAAGACGACCCGACCAGCACUUUUACUUGCAGUAACACUAACUACCGGGUCGUGUUUUGUCCAAGGGCUAGGCUCGGUGCUACUGGGACAGACCAGCUCCCCAUCCAGAUGGUCACUGAGGAGAAUUAAUAAAAUGACGAGUCUCCAUUAUAUGUAUGUGUGCAUGAGUGUGUACGCGUGACUAUCACGCUUAAUGAAUAAUUAUGAUUUAUGAAGGCAAUAAUAAUCACGUUCAAAAAAAUAAUUUGCAUCCUUUUCUCAGACCAUCCAGUGUAUACAUAUAUUUCUAUCUCUAAAAUAAAGUAACUCUAAGAUAAAGGUGUAUUUUUUCAAUAUAUUCUUCUAUUUUUGCCUGUAAAAAUGAAUAAUCAUAAAAUAUUCUAUUUCUAUUUUACAACAAAUAUCUUUAUAUUUUUAUGUAAAUUGAAAAUUAACUCUAUUUAAUAUUAUUAUUAUUCUGAUAAUUGUUUUGUAUCAAUAAAAUGGUUCGCUGUUUGUAAAAUUAGAUCGAGUAACAUUUUACACAACACAUCAUAUUAAACUCAACCCCCACACUUAUCUCUAUAGAUAGGAGUAAGCAUCUAUCUAUAUAUAUAAAGUUGUGUUUUCUCUCUCCUGAGACAAAUCAGAUUCCAUGUCACAAAGUCUCUUUUUGUCGAGGCAACACGUGUCCUCUGUAAACAAAACUCAGCGUUUCAAUAAGGCGCCAUCUUAAACUCUGCAUUUCAUUGACAGCGAGCUGUGAGACCUUUUUAGGGUUUGGUGUUUCUUCCACAAUGAAUCGAAGAGUCUUUUUCUUCUUUGAUCUCUGUAAGGCGGUGUCUAUAUUCCUCUAAAAUGGCUAAUUCAUCAAUCUGUUUUCUGAAUAGAAGUCAACCCUAUGUUUUUCAACCGUGGAGGUGAGAUUGACAGAAACGUCAAACGCUGUGGAAAGACUUUCCGUCGCCUGCUGAUCCGAAAAUCAAGUGAUUGAAUCCUGAGAAGGGAGAGAUGGGUUUGGGUUUGAUCUUGGACUCGACUAAGGAUGAUGAACCAGAUCCAUAUACUCGCGGAUAUGGUGGUUGCUUAGUCUCAGACCCGAUAUUCUUCUUUUUAAAGAUCACUUUCGCCUGAAUUUUAUUUUGUUUAUGUCCUCAACUUCUGCAUUUUUAAUGUUUUGUUUCAUGUACUCUUCAGUCUCUUCAUUAUGUAGCUAAGUGCUGGUGUUCUCUUUACAUCUUUUUUCUUUCAGGAAGUGAAUAGAGAAAUCACUUGACGAAUGGUUCCUAAAGGUAUUAUUUUUGUUGUUGUUUUUAUUGCAGUUGCUUUGUCGAUGACAAAGAAGAAAAGAAGGGAGGGAGCAGAAGGAGAGUAUUGUUAAUGGUAUCAGAGAGACUGUCAAAAACUCUGUCCCUGUUUCUCUUUUGAAAACAUGGAAAAUAUCAAAUUCAAGGAGUUUAGACAACAGUUUAGACACAACGGAAGGUUGGUUUGUUUGCUUUGUUCUGUAAUUAUGAAUAGAUGGGUGUUGCUUGAACGUAAGUGAGAUUAAUAUACGUCACAUUCGGUCUUUCAUUUGAAUUUUGGUUCCUAUUGGUUCAGGUUUUUCCUCGGCUAGAACAAAUUGAUGCAGUUUGCUCUUGGUCCUUCUGCUUGAGAUAAAUCCAUCAUGCCAUCUUUAAAGCUUCUUAGGUUGUGUACUCAGCUUCUUACAAUAAUUGUUCUAUAUUACUUGGUCUUUUUUCGCCAGUUGCAUGUUUACAUAUGUUUUGGAAUUUUAUUUCAGCUUCUUUACAUGGUGAUGAUGAACUGCUUAUUACAGAUAUGCCAAAGGAAGAGGUUAAAAGGUAUCAUCUCUCUCUCUCGAAGACCUUUUUCCAUCUUGCUUUGGUGAAACCAACUAUGAAAGGCUUAAACUAUAUCCAUCUCUCCUGAUCAUCUCAGACAAGGAACUUCCAGGUAAAUAAAACCGAAGAAACCCAACUGUUAAGUUUUUGUGAUACCUCAAAUGACUUGACGCAAUGCAUCUAGUGGUUUAUAUCAAACUUACAUUGUGUUCACAAAGGAACCAUGAAUCGAGUGCUCAAUGAAAUCUCUCUUGCACUAUAUCAGUAUCAAACAAAAAACGACUUCAUGAAUCCUAUAAAGGAGAAUCGACUUGGAGUCAUGUUGUUAUUUAAGUUUUUAAAAGAAUUUUUCAUUCUUCAACCUUGUCACCUCACUUGAAGAACUGGGGGAAAAUGUUAGACCAUGAUUUCCAAAUUCCUUCCGCCAAAAGCACUAGUUCAUUGAAAACCCCUUCCCAAUCAAAGAAAACUAAGGGCGGUGUAUUCAAGAGUUUCAACUAAGAGUUUCAAAUGAUUUGUAUUAAAAUGAUAAGUCCACUGUUAUUCAAACAAGGAUUUAAAAAAAAUACUUUAAAAUCCAGUGUUAUUGAACUUAUCACUUUAUAAAACACUCUGAAAUCCACUGUUAUUGAAAAUAGUUUAAGUUAGAGAUUUUAUAGUGCUUUAAAUGUUUUUUAGGAUGUUUGAUAGGGAAUUCUUAGUUAUAAAAAUAAAAAUCCAAAUCCUAUGUUUUGUUUUGACCAAAAACUUCAUUCUUUCUAAAGUUCAAAAUCCAUUCAAGGAGGACAUACAAGAUAAAAAGGCGUUACUAGCCAAAGGAGUUGCCAUAUUACAAGCACAUCAAAACACAAGAACAGAUAAAUUCUUUAACGACAUGAUAAAGGAUCGAAUAGCGAAUAAGAUCCAAAGAACAUCAAAAGACCAACUCUCUGAAAGGAGGCGAAUGAGUUCUUGACACUCUGACUUGCAGACAAGCUUGGAGAUGCUCAAUAGAAUGGCUGCAACUUGUGCGUCCAAAAGAGCUAGACGCUCUGCAACAAUUACAGGAAGGUCACAAUACAAGGAGAAUAAACCUUGCAAUACUGGGAAGUCUUGAGCUUCCAGAUACAUGUUCUUAAAAGAACUAGAGAAACGGGAAGCUAUCAUCAACACAAAGCUCCAUACACAACUACCACUUAAACCAAGAGAAAAGUUAAGAGCAGAGAGAAACUCCAUAAAGUAUCCCACCAAGGCGACAAGAUUUUCAACGGAGACCAUGAAAACAGAGACAUGAGAUUCCAAAUCAAGCACAACUAAAACCUCGUUCUCUUUGUGACUUUAGACUACUCGUCAAACAACACAAAACGUGAGUGAUAAAACUUUGAACUACUAGAAACCCAGUGAUAGAAUCAAAAGCAAAGAACAAAGCUUCACUAACCCAAUCAAAGAACAUAUCACUUCUAAUACCAAGCACAACUAUCGAAUGAAUAACCACAGAUCCGAGAACCAGUAGGCAAAUAGUUUGUGGUGCCAAAAUCGAACAUGUUAGAGCUAGAAGGAACCGGAUAACACCCGGAGUAGAACCUGCAUACUGCAGUAGAGGAGUUAUUAAACAAUUCUAGAAUCGCAUCCAAAUCUCAAGGUAUUAUAUGAGAUUUAAUUCGUCCUAGGUUAGUUUUGUAAUUGAAAAAUAAAACUUCAUAAUUUAACUUUAACCAGACGACUUAAUUUUUCAAUAAAUAAAAUAAAAAUAAAAUAAUAUAGAAUAAUAAUAUUUAUUAUAAAAAUAAAAAUUUAUUAAUUUAUGAAAACUUUAAUAACAAAAAUAAUAUAUAAAAUUGUUAAAUUUACAGAAAUAAUAAUAUAAUUUUUAAUAUAUAAUUAUAUAUGCAUAUAACGGGUCAAAUCAUAUAUUCGUUCCUAAAAAUAUUAAUAUUUAUGGUUUGCUUCAUAAUAAGAGAUAUUGCUAUUAAUAUUUAUUUACCUACAAAAUUAUGAAUAUCCGGAUUUUUCGGUUUCGAAUCGAAAAAAAAUAAAAACUUGAAUUAAAAUUUAUAGUUAUUUUUGUGACUCUUAAAAAGAACUAUGUAGACCAAUUUGUGGCUGCUUUCAGGAUAAAAGUCGUUCGGUAAAACUAAUUAGUUUGUCAUCAUCAUCACUGUACAUUUGAGACUUUUAGACGUUUUUGAGUUUAUCGUUUUUUUUUGUGGGUCUCUAUAUUCUAUGAAAGAUUAGGCAUAAAAGAAUAUACCUUAAGAUUUACUGUUUUUAUAUCAAAACAUCUCUACCCUAGAAAUUGACCAACUUUUCCUGUAAUGUGAGCUCGGCAGAUAAAUUAAGAUAUAACUGUCCAAAAUUUUGUUUGUUAGGUACUUAGCCAUACAGGCUGAUUACAUGAACGUUUUAAUAAUCCACGACUUUAGUUAGGGGUGUAUUCAAUCUAAAGUUUGAGGUGAUUUGAUUUCAAACGAUGUUUUAGAUGAUUUUAGUAAAUUGAAGAGUUUAAAGUGAUUUUUGUUAAAUUACUCAAGAAUAUCACUUAAAACCAUGAAAUUUGAGUUUUAGUUUUUGUUAACUAAGAAUUUCACCCAAACAAUUUAAAAUCACUUGAAAACUCCACAAGUUAAAAUAUUUUCAAAAACAGUGGAUUUCAGAAUACUUUCACUACAAGAAAACAUAUACUUAAUGACGACAUGAAUCAUAGUUAAUUCGUCGUAAAAGGGCCUUUACAAAGAAAUAACCUCGAAAGUCAUUUUGUCGUUAAUCAUCGGUCGUAAACCAUUUUUCCUCACUAAAUCGUCGUAAAUUUAAGUAGAAUAGAUUUCGUUAAAAUGGUUGGUAAUAAAUUCAUCGUAAUAUACAUGCCAUUUAACGACGUCUAUUUCCUAGUAAUACAAAGAGAAGAAAUCGUCGUAAAGGACACGUAAACUUUUCAACAAAAUUACGUCUACUUCCACAUAAAUCUUUUAAUUUACAUCGAUAUAACGAGUCUUUCCUCAUUAAAUAGUCAUAAGCUUAGCUAUACGAAUUUACUUUGAUUCUUAUUUUUCAAUAUUAAAAAUUGAAAUCAUUAUAUUUUACUAAAAUUAUAAAAAAUUAUAAAAAAAUUAAAUUAUAGAAAAAUCUAAAAAAUAUUUAUAAAUAUUUAAGUUUCAAAUUUAUAAUACAUGAGAAAAAAAGAAAAAAAAAACUAGCUAGGGGUUCGGAAAUUCCGGGAAGAAGUCCUGACUCCUUAUCCUCCUUAUCCUCCUCCUCUGAGGAGCGCUGUGGCUGUGUAUUUCCAUGUCCCGCCCGUCUCGCCUGCAACAUGUUGUCCAAUUGCGGAUUUCCAGCCACUAGAACGUCUAGAAAACAUUCAAAUGAACCUAAUCGAGCUUGUGUCGAGCUCAAAUCAGAACUCGUCGCACUCAACUCAGAACGCAGCUGAGCAGUCUCAUCAUACUGUCUAUGACCAUAAGACGAUCGCCGUCGGGACAUCGUUAACGGAACCGAUUCCCAACAUACAUCCCUUUUUCUUAGGGACCACCUUCCAAAAAAAGAUUGAUUUUAGUGACAAAAUGAAGUCGUUCUAAAAACAAAUUUGUACCACCUCGUAAAUCUUAUCCACUUUAGGUGUGGAUAAAGUGACGGGUAUUUAAUAGGGGGACUGUUGGGUCUGGCGCUCUUCAAUCCAAGCAACCACGUCGUUGUGGAUUUGCUCAGACCUAGAAUCUACAAAUUUCCUACACUUGUUCUUGUGGGUCCUCUCGUAAAGCUUCUUAAGAGAUGGUAGUACUCAUGUCUCUUUGGCGUAAAAUAUAUAUGAAAGUUAGAAUAUAUUAAAAAUAAAUAAAAGAUAUAAUCGAAAUACUUAUCAUCUCUAGACGGAUACCAGCGUGGAGUUUUUGGCCUGGUGAGUGAAGCAUCGACAAGUUACCAUGCUCAUCUUUCGUCAGAGGGGAAGCGGAGCAACUGUUGGAGACUCUAAUCGACGAUGGUUGGUUCAAAUAAUGGAUGAGGCCAUCCCACACAUCCUUCAUGAGCUCACUUGGUUUCCCGUGCUCAUAACCCUUCACCACC
rnacentral:lncRNA from 1 species